UUCGAUUCUCCUCGGAGAUCAAUCAAAACCCAGAGCCGACCAAGUAAACUGGAAAAUCCUCUGAGGGAAAGUGGAGAUGGUGGGAGGUCUGCAAGGAGCGAGCAAGAGGCGACCGAAUGCCGUCCGGACGCAAGCAGUGAUCGUGAGCUCUCGCGAGAGAAUUGGACGACGUCGUCGCGCAAAUGGGGAGAUAGAGAGCCACGCGACCUCAAAACGCACAGGAAUUGGAGCCAAAAAAGCCGGUUGGAUCCACCAGCUUCGAUCGUCGCUGCCAAUGCCGUCCAAGACUCCCUCUGGUUAGUUGAACAACCGAUCGUGACCGAUGAUCGCUCCUCGCUGAGAUAAAAGCUCUUUGUUCUGUUUUGAGUAUCGCACGUGUGAAAUAGAGACCGAGAGCUUUGUUGUUUGCUAGCAAUGAAAAUUGUUCACGUCCGAGAUUAUAUUACUAACAACUGCGAUUCGGUCUUCAUGAUCUCGUGCUGAUUGGGCUGUGAUUCUCGCUCUCUCGUUGCUGGAUUGUGCCAUUUCAUCGAAUGCACAUUAAAUGUCUGGUGAAAUGCCUGAGCCGUAUUAGUCUAAAUACGCAUGGUCUUUGUCUGCUUGAAUGACUCAUUGUACCAGUUGGAUAGGUUAAGUAGAUCUAAAUUGAUAUCCACUUUUGAGUCCAUUCCCGAAUGUCUCGGUCUUGGUAGGCUUCCGGUACUCUAAGGCAGAUAAACUCGACUCUCUGAAAUUAGCUAAAAAAGAUGAUUCCGGUACUCUAAGGCAGAUAAACUUGACUCUCUAAAUUAGCUAAAAAUGAUGAUAUGCUGAAUUGUAAAUACUCUGUCGAUGGUUGCUGGUGCGCUCAUGAAGCAUAGGCUGAUCAUGGAGACUAAUACAUUGUAGUGUGGAUCCCAUUUGCUGUACAUAUCUUUUUCUAAUAGUGAAUUCCAAAUCACGUCUUCUCUGCGAGUGAACGUGAAUAUGUGUUCACCGGAUGAAAAGAUAGUGUGGCAGCCGCCAUGUUCUUGUUGCAAAACUAAAUGACAAAAAAGGUAGAAUUGAAAAGUAGUUGGAAAUUUUUUCUAAAAAAUAAAUAUGAAACGUUAUAAAAAUAUAUAUAGUAGACUCGCGUCCUCACAAAUCUAAAAUGAUGCAGAUCUAUUAGAAAACUCGAUACGUCUAUAAUCAUAGGCAAUGUAUAGCUUUUUAUAACUCAAAGGGAUGAAUAGACUCAAAGCUCAUGGAACACCCUAUUAUAAGAUAAAUAGUUACAAAAACAGGCCAUACUAUUUCCACACUCGAAAUGGAGGGAAAGGUUGAAAGGGAUUAAAAAAAUGCAAGAAAUGUUCUCAUAUGAGUGGAGAGCUCCAUUUAUUUCUAAUUCACUUAUGAUCAAACCAUCAUCAGAGCCAUUAUGCCAUUUCAAAAUAGAGGCAAAAUCCCAAGAAAAUCAUCAGUUUGACAAGUUCUGGAAAUUCUCUCCCUAACUUUUUAGAUAAUAAUUUCCAAUAAAUUGGACAAAUUGCGUCACCCUAAGUUAAAAAAGAUGAAUAGUGCUAGAGACACUCAUAUUGACAUAUUCAAUUGGCUCAAACUUUAUAAUACUCAAACAAUAAAUAGAUUUAUAAAAAUUAGAUAAUGUCACCAUUUUGCCACAUCUAAUGGAAACUGAAGGUGGCAUUGGUAAAAAAUCUUCCAACAAGGAAUGCGUUCAUCAGUAGUUAAGCGCACAGGAGUUGACUUAUUGCUCUCAGACAUUUCGAAAAAGAGACUAACUCGAGCUGUUCAAGCCCAACAUCUUGACAACAUUCAAGAGGGUUUGAACCACAGCAGCAUCUGCUACCUUGGAAGCUGCUCUAGGUUAUUAAAGAGUUGAGAUUCGAGGUACUAACCCCCUUUUAAUUACAAUGGGCAUGCCUUUUCAAAGGCUUGUUGCUCUUUGCGGCAUAAAUCGAACUCGUUUGUGUGGUAAUACAUGCAACCAACAUAAGCAUCCAUCUCUUUUGUGCACCUCUGGUGAAGAUCUUUCAGUCUGCAUAGCCAAAAAUACAUGGUUUAGAUACUGCAACGGAAAGUGGUAAGUAAAAUGCAACAGCUACUUUUAUCAGUUGAAAGAGGUAUAACAAAUUUUUCAGCACCUCCAUUUAAGUUUCCAAAAAGUCCAUUUGUAUCAGACUUCUGUGGGCGAACAUCAUGAAUCAUUGACAGUAAAGCUUAUAGCCAGUUUGUAUUUGCCAAUGCAAGGGUUGUGCAGCCCAAAUAUGAAGACAGUAAUGCAACGACUAAGAGGCUCACAAGUAUGUCUGCAUCUAAAACUAUGAAAAGAAGUAGACUGCAUUCCUCUCACUUGAAAUUGAAAGUGCAGAGCCCAUAAGUCAGUCACCAAGCCGUGUGCUCUGUAUAUCAAGAUCAUCAAGUAUCUAGAAUGAAAUCCCUAUCAAAUGGUGUAAGCAAAGUCUACUGAUCCAAGCAAAAGUCAUAGAUCCCGCACACAUCUUUAUUGAGAGAAAACUCAACCAUACUGAUUCUAAAGCACUAAGUCUUAAAUGCUGCACAAAACAGAAGCCCGACCUAUAUGACUACCUUCAAAGCAGAAAUAAUUGUUCUACCAAGAGAUUUGGAAUUAGGAUCCAGAACUAAGACCCAAGAUACUACUCAACUACAUUUGAUUUAACCAAAAUGAUAAAGAGGUUUAAGGAAGGAAGCUCCCAGCCAAAUGUGAAAGGAGCUCCUUGUGAAGUACUAUAUAUGGUGGUGUAUGAACGAAUGAAAUAAGGGAUGGUCGGUGUUGAGAAAGGAAUUGAAUCAAAAGAAGAAUAUUCUUAACUUUUGAUUCUGAUGGAAAAAUGGAAUGCCCCUUGCUUGUGUUUUUUUUUUUUUUUCUCAAUUCCACUUGAAUGUUCCUUGCAUUAAAGUGGCAAAGCUAAAUGAGUCUUUUUCCCCAAAUGUACCUUUCCUUCUCUCCCUCUUUUACUUUUACGGAAGAGACGAAUUUGAGAAAAAAAAAAACAAGCAAGGGGCAUUCCCUUGGAAUUCUUGCUCCUAUCCUAACAAAAUUUUGUUCAAUUCUUAGUGGAAUGUGGAUGUAAAGAAGACUAAAUUGUCCAUCAAAAUCCAUUCAAAAGAUUGCAUGCUUAACCACAUAUGAAAAUGGAUAACUAAAAACUGGCCAAAAGGGAAUUGAGAAGCGACCCCAUGUCAGAUACCCAACACCAUGUUCUGUGUUCUCCAGACCAUUAAUGACUCCCUUACGAACUCAUAUAGGGAGGAGAUGAACUUGAGAAAACACACAAGCAAGGGGCAUUCUGUUGGAAUUCUUGUUCCUAUUCUCACAAAAUUGUGUUAGAAACUUUGUGGAAUGUGGAUGUGAAGAAAACUAAAUUGUACAUCAAAAUCCAUUCAAAAGAUCGCAUGCUUAACCGCAUAUGAACAGGCAUAGCUAAAAACUGGCCAAACGGGAAUCGAGAUGCGACUGUACGUCAGAUACCCGAAACCAUGUUCUGUGCUUUCCAGACGUAUUAUGACUACAUAUCGAACUCGGUAUGCAAACUACCUUAUACCAAAACCUUUCCCAAUACUAUUCUUAGUUGCUAAUGAUUCCAACUGCCCAUUUUCAAGACAUUCACAAGCAACUAAGAAAAUCCCACGCUCUAUUCUUUGGGGUUUUCUCAGCAACAUUCCCCAAACCAUAUAUGCCAAUCAAACGACGCAAGAAAUGCCCCCACUUCCUCGCAUUUCAGAUAAGCGAACAAACGAUGCGGCAACAACAAGAACAACAAUCAUAUCGAAGGCGACCGCGACUGAAUCGGGGAGCCGCGAGAGAAAUAGAGAAUCACGCUCACAGGUGGAGCACGCAGCGGGUGACUUGCUGGCCCUUCUCGAGGCACUUCUCCGGGUUCGGGUCCUUCUGCUUGCACUUGAGAAAAGCCACGUUCUCCGACAGGCAGCUCGCCCCGAUGUGCAUGGACGACGCCGUCAGCACCGCCGACGUCGGGAUCGGGCCCCCGGCGGCGUCCAGGGACGUCGCCAUCCCGGCCGACAUCGAAUUCCUCUUGGGUUAUCUUCUCUUCCUUCUUAUUCUUCUUCCCUGCGGCAGAGAAGAUGGGUGAAGCAGAUUCUUCUUCAACGAAUGCGUGAUCCGGGAAUUCAAGACCAAGAGAACUCCAGAUCGAAAGGAGAGAUCUUUGAAUUUGUGGGCAAAGUCGUCAUCUUUACCUGAUUGACCGUUCGCAGUUGCAGUACAGAGUGAGAGAGAGAGAGAGAGAGAGUGGAUUCUGCAGUGAUAGAUGAUGAUAUUCUCAACAUCCGCAGUGAAAGUAAUUAUUUUUUUCUACAAAUGAAAUGUUUGUUAAUGAGAAUUUUAGAAGUUUUUUUUUUGAACUAAAAUGAGAAUUUUAGAAUGGCCAAUUGAUAAAAUCCAUCUCAUGUCGAGGUGUUUUUAUGUUUCCAAGAAAUAUCUGUACUUGGAAAAAAAAUCAUUGAUAAACUUAAAUUAUACUAUCAAUCCAUCUUAUGUCGAGGUGUUUUUAUGUUUCCGAGAAAUAUCUGUACUUGGAGAAAAAUCAUUGAUAAUCUUAAAUUAUACUCAUUGUGAUAUACUUAUUUUUCCUUUUUGGUGAUAUGAAAAAUUUAAAUUUGUAUACAUGUGAUAAAUUUAUUCUAAAACUAAAGAUCCCGAACAUUUAUUCUCAUGACACAUUAUAUAUAGAGUUUUUUAUGUCAUUAAAAUAAUUAUAAGUUUGGGAUUUUUUGGGGUAUAAGUUUAGAGUUUUUCAUGUCACAAAAAAAUUUAGUGUAAAUAUAUCAUAACGUGCAUAGUUUAAGGCUUAUUGUUGCCUUUUCCCUUACAUAUAAAUUGAAGUUUCACAAAUUAGAUUUCAAAUUUACUUUCUUGAGAGAUUUAUAAUUAAUGAAAUUUGGGAUAAUAUUAAGGGUUAACACUACAAAAAAAAAUCUUAAAUUAAUAUACUUGUGCCGCAUCCAAAUUAAUUUUGGCGCCACAAAAAAUUUCAAAUUAGUAUUCUCAUGAUAUAUUUAUCCUAAAUCAAUUUUCAUGACACAAAAUCAUAAAUCGGUACAUUCAAGUUGCAUUUAUCACAUUUUCCUUAGAUUCUAAUAAAUUUUAUUACAGAUGUAUUACUUUGAAAUUAUGUACUAGGCUGGAAUUUUUGGUAGUAUCGUUCCUAAAAUUAAAUUUUUUUUCUUCCAGCCUUAUGUUUUUUCAUCAACCCAAGUCCCGACUUGUCCCAAGAAAAGCCAAAGUCAGGUUUUAAAGAGGCACUCUCGUAAUUUUGCGGACACAAGCAUUUCCAUUUACGAGAGAUAAAUUCAGAGGUAUUGCGUUAAUUUUUUAUUUUUUAUUUAUCUCUGAUUAGUGUUUAUAAUCAAUUCUUUACUUGUGUUCUCAUGUAUUUGUAAAAUGAAGUUCAACUAUAUGUGUUUGUGCUGAAAUUACAAGAGUUAGGCUCGGCGGUUGAUUGUCGUUUGAGUUCAUCGAACUGGAAAUGUCGGUAGAAUUGCGUUUCUUGUGCCUUAGACAGACACAAGCGAUUAAGAAAGGAACACAAACUUGAUCUUGAUUCUUGGAUUUUGAAGUCCAGGUUUAGGACGAUUCGGACACCCGAUCGUAGGCUCUUGAAAUUGAUGGCAGGAUUUCUCGAGCUAAAAUUAUAGAUUAUAUUAAAUCAAUACAUUGUUGGGAAGUGAAGGCAUAGAAGAUUGAAGAAUAGGAAAAUUGGAAGUCAAAGUAAAUUAUAAGCCUCUGAGAAUACCGAUAAUCAUAGGCCUAUUCGUCGUGGCUCUAGCCAUUUCGGCCGUGGCAACAGAAUCAGCUCUUAUCUCAUCAAAUUUAAGCUUCCUUUGUUUUAGGGAAGAUGGAUAAUUGAACCUUAAGGGAUGAGAUAAGUUGUGGAUCCGAGAGAACCAUAUUGAAGUUUGAAAAUAGCGUAACGAACACUGUUUUUGCACUGAGAGUAGCCUGGAUGGUACCAAUGCCCUGAAAAUAAUGACUUAUAUUGCUUAAAAUAAUUAGUAAAUGGAAAAAAAAAAUACUUUCAUCAUCCCCAAUCAUUUAUGUCCAAAUAUUUUCUGGGAUCAUGAAAAUAUUUUUCAUUUAUUCAUUAUUGUAAGAAAGUUAAGCCAUCAUUUUUAAGAAGAUAUUUUGUAAAUUAUUCAUUUUUCGCAAAAUAUUUUGUGAGCCUUACAUAGAACUGAUUCCAAAUGAUCCUCUCAUUUUGACAGUUUCGAUCUCCUUUCAAAGAAAUUUUUUUUUUUUUCCUUAAACUUGCGAACGUAGUCUAACAUUUGUUUUGGCGUUUUGUCUACUAUCCAAGUCAAAUGAGAACAAAGAGAAAGAUAGAACCGACGCGUUUAGAGUGGAAUGCUAUUACUUUUGGAAUGAUAAUGGGUGCCGCCUGUUUGAUCUAAUGCUACUCGAGUUCAUAAAAAUCGGAAUGGGGAUUGAUGGAUCCCGUGAAGAUGGAGAAAUCGCUGGCCUUGUUGGAGAAACAGGCGAACCUCUUCAUGGAGUCUUACCGGCGGGCCAAGACAGCAAAGAAAUAGACAACAANNNNNNNNNNNNNNNNNNNNNNNNNNNNNNNNNNNNNNNNNNNNNNNNNNNNNNNNNNNNNNNNNNNNNNNNNNNNNNNNNNNNNNNNNNNNNNNNNNNNAAAAAUUGUGUAGUUAUCAAACGCAUUUAAAUGCUCAAAAACAUGUUCAAAAUAGAAAUAGGAAAAAUUGUUCCCAAAAACAGAAAUAUUACCAUAUGUACCCUAAGUGCUAUUAGAAAAGUAGAAGAAAAGAAAAUUGAAGAUUUAAUUAUUAGGGCAAUAGCCAGAUAACUCUGUCAAGUAUAAAAUAUGCAAAGAUGCUGCUUGCUUGGAUACUUUUCACAAGUAGUAAAAUAUCAGGUAAGUUCUAACCAUCAACCCCCUCAAAGCAACAAGUACUAAACUAUCCACUAGCUGGGUUCUGAAAACUUAUUUGCUACAUUAAUAAUUCUACCGAAAAAGACCAUUUGAAGGAUUAAGUAGUUCAUGUUUCUCAUUAUUGAUCAAAGAGCGGGGUACAUGACUGUAAUCCAUAUUGAGUGCUUAAAACCUUUUGACUUUUUCGAUGACCUAGAGGAAAAAACAUAACCACGGUGAAGCCAGCAUUGUCCGGUACUUGAAUUUGAAAUAGUUAGCCUCAAAUUUCACCGACGACUUCUACACAACGUUAUGACCAUUUAAAAAGAAAAGAAGUGAAGUCUACAGAUAAAAAGUGAAGCCAUCCCAUUUCAUCAAAGCAGAGCUCACAAUAAGAACGUGAUGCACUCAUACUAGAAGAAAAGACUUAAGCUAACAACUUACACCAACCUAUAUCGUCAAUCAAAUGCUAAACAAACAAUAAUAACUCGAAAUGAAAUUACUAGACAUGGCACAACCUUGAUAUUCCCGGCUGCUUUGAUGGCUGCAACAAUCCUGUCUUGGUCUUCUAGCUGUGCUCGCCCCACAGCAGAGAUUACCACAUCAACUUGCUUAAUCGCACUCAACAGACUCUUUUGAUUGUAUAUGUCUCCCUAAGAAUCAAAUAACCAUGAGCAUGGAAAAACAAUCAAUAAAGUGAGCAAUCAUCAACCGAUCCAAUUUUGGCCAGUAGGAAGACUACGAAAAAGGAGAAAUACAAAUGCUGAUAAGACUUCAAUACCUUCACCAGACAAGAAAAAGUGUUAUGAGAAAUUAAAAAAAAAAAAAAAAAGCUGCUAUCCACAGAAUUCUUGUCCAUGCAUUACCUACCAAUCUUUUGAAAGGUUACAACAAGGUAUUUGCAAUGGCAUCUGAAUUACAGAUCAGCCACAUGUACUUCUGUAUAAAAAUUCAUCUACACAGUACGAAACAUAUGGAAAAUUUCAUAAGAUUUGCCUAAAAAUGGAAACUUUCACAAGAUUUGUCUAAAAAUGUACUCGUUCGUUUCAGCAUGCGAAGCUAAGGGGAUUCCUCAGUCAGUGUGAAAAAUGAGAGGGAGAUUGUUUCUGGUUUCACCAACUUACGAGGCCGAAAUAUCAGAGAAGAAAAAAAGGAACGCCGAAUUCUGACGUGACUCCAUCAACUCGAUCUUGUGAAAGAUUGAGAUGAAAAUCGACUCCGAUACUACUGGUUAAAGACAUUUCUCAGAAUUCCGAGCAUGAUCAAAUGGCAAGGGACGCUUCGAUUCCUCGAAGCAGCACCAAAUGUGGGAAACGACCAAAUCACACGGGAAUAACUGCUCACAUGGACUAGGUUCACGUUUAAGCUCUUGAAACCUUCGAUGAUUUCGGCCUUGGCGGGGUUGGAGAGAGUGGACUCCCUCACAAGAGCAAAGGUAGGGCGACCGGACUUAGCGCUCGCUUUCACGAUGAACUUUCCAAUUUCUCCGGUGCCUCCGAUCACCAGGACUCUGCUCUUCUCUGCCAUCUUGGAGGGUCUUUUCACAGCGGGCGUGGCGUUUUCCAGCAAACUUGAUCGGGGAGAGAGAGAGAGAGAGAGAGAGAGCUAAAAGGCGGGGGUUCCUGUCUUCGUGAUGGGACGGAGUGUCAUUGGAUGAUUCUGGAAGGGCAUAAUCGUCUUUUCAAUGAAAUAAUUUUUCUUAUUGAGGUAAUCCUUUACUAGAAAAAGGGUACAUGGAAAGUGGGAAUAGAUAGAAGAUAACCAUUUCGUUUCAUUUUAACUUAAAAAAAGAAAAGCAAGAAAAUUUAAUUUUGAUGUUGCUAUAAAUUUAAGUAAUCGUAAUUGAUGAGGAAGUAGUUGAAACUACUUUCUUUACGUUGACUUUUAUCAUAUGAAAAGAAAAGAAAAAGAUUAUAAAAUGAGCAAUGAGCUACUCUACAUCCAUAUGGUAGCAUGAUAUCAUAGAGCUUCAUAGCCGCUAUGCUAUUAUUUUGAGGUUCAAUGAAUUCUUUUUCUUGGGAGGGUUGAUCACAAGAUUACCCUUCUUUAAUUAAUUGACCAACACAAGAUUACUAUAUUUGUAAUUCAUAACCUCUAUGUGAGAAAAAAGCAGCAUUACGAGUGUCCAUAUAUGUAGUGAUUAGUAAUAAGUUAUUAAACCUUUGACAUCAAUACCAAUUCAAUUUUAAAUAUUUCGAUUUGGUCAAUUUAGUUCUAAACUUUUUAACAAUUUACCUUGCGAUACAAUCUUACGUAGCAUUGAUACUGAUACAUGAUAUGAUAUGAUACGCCAAUACGUCAUUUCCGACACAUUGGGACAUGUAUAUUAAAUGUCAAAUUAAUUAAUUUAAUUCAAAUUCACAAAUAAAUAAAUAAUAAAAGAUAUUAGAAUGAAUUUACACUAAAAAUCGUGAGUCCUAGGAAGUGAAAGUUAAAAGAGAAGAGAAAAGAAGACUAAAUUUUUCUUUUUUUUUUUUAUUAUUAUUUUUAUUACUGCUCACCCGAAAUAUAUCGAUGCCUAAGUUCUUGAAACCUUCGACGAUGUCAGCCUUGGCGAGGUCAGAGAGAGCGGACUCCCUCACGAGAGCAAAGGUAGGGUAACCGGACUUAGCGGUCGCUUCCACAAUGAAUUUCCCAGGUAUCCAAUGUCUCCGAUUACCAGGAUUUUGCUCUUCUCGGCCACCUCGGAGGGUUCCUUCACAGCGAAGGUGCGGUUUUGCCCAGAGAACUUGCUCGCUCUCGUGCUGCGACUAUUGCCUGUUGGCGCGCAUCGAGAUGAAUCGUCAUUUUAUUUUGGUUCCAAAAGGGCAUAAUUCUCUUUUUCGGUGAAUUGACUUUCCCACCCCCGUCAUACUUCGCUCGGAAAAUGAGUAGAAGCAAAAGUGGGCCACGAAAGUUGGAAGAAAUUUACGGUGGAAACUGAGCACGUGCAAAGUACGUAUCUAUCGAUUUUGUGGAAUUUGGACGAUGACGAAAUAUUUUUUGAAACAACAACUCGACUUACUAAAAGUUGCCUGUAUUUGAUGAAGAAAAUUGAUUGUUGCGUCAACAAAACAUCCAUCGAGAUAGAAAAGAAAUUUUUUUUUUUUUUUUUUGAGAUAGAAAAGAAAUUGACGGCCCUAACUUAUGCUGGCUGCAUGUUCUUCAAGGAAUUCAAGAAGGAUAUCUUUUUACAGUAAUUGAUUGUUACUUUCUGACAAAAAAGCUAUUUUAUGUUUCUUCAUUAAAUAUUCUCGAUUUACGGUGGGUUUGGAAAAAAUUGAGCCAAACACACCCCUAAUUAGACAACAAUCCACAAAAUGCUGGGCUUUUGGGAUAAGAAUUUGGCUCAAGAGUCAUCCAGAUUGAUGGCGCAUGCCUCUUUUUGUUCGUGUUUGUUCCCUGCAGUCUAUAAAAGUCCCGGAAACAUUAAUGAUAACUCUACAUUGUGAGGAGUUUGUCAGUCGGUUUACGCUUGUUUUAACUUGUCAUUCUUUAAGAUUAUCCAUAAUCAGGCCACGAUGGAAAUUUCAAUCCUGCUGACACGUUAAGUAUCUAACUUCAAAACAGUGAUCGUCCACGAACUAUUUAGACUUGAAAGACAAUACAAUAUACAAAAAUAGAGAAACCCGUGUCUUUGUGGUAGCUCAGCUUGGCCCAUGAACCCAAUAUCAAUCUCCAAAACAUAAGUAAUUUCUCCAAGCACUUCAUAGGAUGUCCUCAGCCUUUGGGGUUGUACAUUGCAUGUGAUGAUCAGCGAAAGCAACACUUCACACUAGGAUCAUGAGAAGCAGCAUCUUAUAUUUUUUUAUGAUUCAAGCCGAUGUGAGAAAUUUAUCAAGCACAAUCGGGUUCGAUAAUCAGACAAACUGAUCCAAAUACUAAUCCACAAUUGUGGAUUUGACAUUAGUGUAGAGCUCUAAAGCUUCCACUCAAAAUGAUGGCUCAAUCUCGAAGCUGAUUUAAUCUCCUUUCAUGAAAACAUAAUGGAAUACUACCAAUAUCACAUUGAGCAGAACCACCACCUCUGCAAUGACCGGACAAGUUUUAAAUCUUAGAGAGAAUAGAGACGAUUCACGCGCUUAAAUCCAAUAGAAAUGCAUCCCUAACCUUGAAUAUUCUUCAGAACCUCCUCCUUCGAAACAUACACCCUCUCUAGAGUCCUGCCGAUCUUUCUCUCCCACAAUGACACGAGCUCACUAAAAGAGUAGGUGUUGGCAAGAGGUUUGAUGUACAGAAUUUUGUUCAAGAUCCUUGGAUCAUCCACAACUUUAAUGGUGUAGGUGCCAAUGUCAUCCUCCUUGUUAAACACCACUGCAUAUUGGCGUGGAGAGUUUUAGAAUUUGGCUAAUAAAUAAAUCACAGAGCCAUUGAUCUUCCUAGGGUUACUUUCGGCUCGAAUUGAAGAAGAAUUCUCUCGGUAAACAGAUUCAUCAAACAACCGGCAGACAGAUGCAUCCAUAUGUUCUUUUCUCAACGAAAUACAUGAAGAGAACCUUCACGAUCUGCCCACUAGGUGGUAUUAUGCCAAGAUAAACCACAACACACUCAUAUCAUCUACUAGGCUCUUAAGGUGAAGACUAAUGGAUGUAAGAAUCCUAAUAUCUCCAGACAAGGACGUUGCCCUGGAAUUCUCAAGCUUCAAGAACUGCCCCUCACACUAAUCACUACUGUAAUUAAAUCGUGAUUAAUGUACAGAAAAAUCUUAACUAGCGAGAUUAACGGCAAGGGACACUUCAGUUGCUCAAAGGAGCAUCAAAUGCGGGAAACAAACAGGAUUGCAUAGGAAGAACUACUCACAUGAACUAAAUUGACGCCUAAGCUCCUGAAUCCUUCAGUGAUGUUGGCCUUGGCAAGGUCGAAGAGAGUGGACUUUCUCACGAGGGCGAAGGUAGGGUGACCAAACUUAGCACUCGCUUCCACGAUAAAGUUUGCUUUAGGUCUUUGCUCUGCUUAUAAUUUUCUGGUGAGAGGAGCGACUGGACAGUUAUAGACGCUUCCACUGCAUUAUAGCAACCAUAAACAAAAGUCUCCUAAAAAUCAAUCGGUCAAUUUCGUUAAAGUCACUAAAGAAUGUCCAACCUUUUUGUAGGAACUUGUCAGAUAAUGCACACUUCAAUCCGAAAGUCCUUGGUUGUCAAUCUGAUUGGUCACAUACUUGACAUGUGUCCCUCCCUUAAUAGUAGCUAUCCCAUUCACCAAGCUGAACUGUUUUAGAAUUCACAAUGUUAAAUUCGUUCAGUAGCUAUCUAGCUCUAUAUUCGCCCGUUACAGAAGAAAGUAUUCAAACUACCUAUUGAAACUGUCCUUCGCUCAGGCUUAGACAGACUUCCACCACUCCUCACAGUCUCCUGAAUACUGAUCCAAUCAAGUAAAUUAAGUAUUCAGAAUACCAUUCCGAACUACAAAAUGACACUAAUCAGACAAAAAGAAAGGAGAGAACCUUGGGAGGAAGGAACGUUCUGGUUUUAUUUUCAUAGGCAUAUUUGAGACAGACGCAUGUUUUCACAGGAACCCUUUUCCCGUUCACCUCGAUCUUCUCUGUCUUCCCGAGACACCCAGCCAAGUCAAUCACACGCUUUUUCAUCAAAGCAACCACAUCAUCUUCAAGGUGGGUCAUGUUAAACUUUGCCAAGUCUGGCUUGAAUGAGACCUUGGUCCAGUUUCCGCCUGCCUCGCAUGCCUUAAUAUCAGGUGGGCCUUUCAAUCUCAUGUUUUGUUGAGAAAACCUUUAAAUCAGUGGAACAGAUCAGUAUAGGAGUUCAACCAAAGCAAUCCCGCUAACCCAAUGAAAACCAAAAUGCAGUCCUAUUACUGCUAAACCCACUGCUGAGAACACUCGACAGUCCCUGAUCGCGAACCCACCUGUUCCAAUCGAAAUGUCCUUGCCCCCUGCCCCUCCCACUCUGCUUGAAGGGAAUGUGCAGGCUGUAGACAGAACGUGAGACAACCCCCUUUUUAUCAAUAGGCCCGAUGCUGGUUGUACUUCUCCAGGGGAGAAUUUUUCAGAACUACAGAAGGAUGCAGUUUCUGCUACUGUUAUUGCACCGACCACUAAAGCUUCUGUUGCAAUGGCCUCUGGUUGUGAUGGUAGUCAGGAGGUGGCGUGCUCUGCUAGUAUUCCUCCCGCACUUGCUGACCCGGGGUGGAAGCAAGUUACAAAAAAGAAAAAGGCUCAGGUGAGCAAAGAAGCUGCCUCUUUUAGCCUAGCCCCGCCUAGUGAAGGAGGCCAACUGAAAGGCUCUACUUCUGUUAAAGCUGGUACUGCUUCGUUGCCUCGUAAGAUUGCUGGAGUCUCUAAGGCCGUUGUAGGCUCUUCUCUGGCAAAAGCGAAGGCUUCUCCUUCCAUCCUGCCUGAAUGCUCAGAUGAGAUAGCUAACUCCAGCAUCCAUGCUGGAUCGGAUGAUGAGAACCUGCUUUCGGUUGGUUGUCCCUCGCCAAAAGGUCCACCUACAAGCGUCUCGGAUGAGACGAUACAAGAUAAACUUCUGCUUUUAUGCCUGGAUCCUCCUCUUUCGGUGGCUCCUCCUCCGACAACUGCUCGGAAAAAGACCACUAAAAAGAGGUAAUCUCUUCCUCUCUCCUUGUAAAUAUGUAUAUAGCUGCUUGGAACAUUAGAGGCCUUUGUGAUCCUCUCAGAAGGGCUGAAGUUAGGAGAUUGGUCUCCACUCACAACCUUUGCUUUAUUGGUCUCAUUGAGACUAAAGUUCCCAAGAAUGCUUUUGAUUCUAUAUCUUCCUUCUUGUUGAAUGGCUAGAAAUGGGUUGUAAAUUAUGAAUUCUCCCCUCGUGUUAGAAUAUGGGUUGGAUGGAACCUAGGGUAUGUUAGUUAUGAAACCUUAUCAAUUAAUGACUAGGCUAUUCAUGGCCAUCUGAGGCUUACCUUAACUGGUAGAGUUUGCUGUGUGACUAUAGUAUAUGAGGAACAUUCUUUUAUUCAUCGAUGGCCACUUUGGGAGGACCUUCUCCGUAUGAACAAUCUUAUGCAGGAAAUACCUUGGUUGGUUGCCGGUGAUUUUAACACCAUUAAGGAUCCUUCAGACCGUUUCGGUGGUUCCAACAAUUGGAUCCCUUACUUUGAUGAAUUCAGCAAUUGCUUAGCUCAAUCUGAUUUGGAGGAUCUCAGGUAUGUCGGUCUUCGAUUUACUUGGUUGACCUCUACUGGAGCUACUAGAAAGAUGAGAAAAAUUGAUCGUGUCUUGGUUAAUACUAAAUGGAAUUCGGAUUUCUCGUACUCGGAGGCCUCUUUCUUGAACCCGGGCAUCUUUGAUCACUCUCCCAUGGUUGUCAGAGUACUCAACUUGAUUCUUACGAGAAGACCUUUCAAGUAUUUUGAUUUUUGGUCAAAGCACUCCGACUUUUCCUCCAUCAUUCAGCAAAUUUGGUAUAGACCGGUCGAUGGAGUUGCCAUGUUUAGACUUGUGUCUAAGCUUAAAACGCUGGAAGGACGACUUAAACAAUUGAAUAGAGAAGCCUUCUCGAAUAUUUCAGUGAGGACAGCGGAAGUUAGAGAGGCUCUUUGUCUUACUCAACUUGAUCUUCACCUCGACCCAAAUUUUUCUGAUCUUGCAAAUCUUGAGAAGACGCGUCGCAAACUCUGUGGACUUAUGCAGAUAUGAAGAAUCCUUCUACAGGCAGAAAUCAAGAGUUCGAUGUCUUAGGGAAGGCGAUCGAAAUACAAAGUUUUUUCAUCACUCUGUCAAGAGAAGGCAACUCAGAAAUAGGAUCCUUUCGGUAAAGGAUACUUCAGGUGCUUUAAUCACUAACCCUACUAUGGUUCCUCAAGUUUUUGUCUCGUUCUUCAUUGAUCUCCUUUCUCCUCAGAAGGAACUUUCCAGGCCUUCCUUGCAGGAAUUAAAGGGGUUCAUUCGAAGACCAUUGUCGACUGAUCAGAUCAAUACUCUUUCCAGCCCGAUUCUUGACUCUGAAAUUUGGGAUACGCUUUUCUCUCUUGUGAAAGGCAAAGCUCCCAGCCCUGAUAGCUUUAUUGUCGAGUUCUUUAAGCAUUGCUGGGGGAUUGUUGGCCCGCUGGUGAUAGAGGCAGCUAAAGAUUUCUUCUCUUCAGGCCGAUUCUUGAGAGAGGUAAACAAUACUAUACUUGCUUUGGUACCUAAAGUGCCUAAUGCUUGUGCUGUGACAUAUUUCCAACCUAUUGCUUGCUGCAAUAUUAUUUAUAAGCUAAUCACCAAAAUUUUGGCUAAUCGCCUAGCUGCAGAUUUAAGUGAUUUGGUUGAUCCUUUCCAUAAUGCCUUCAUUAAGGGGAGAAGGAUUAGGGAUAAUAUACUGAUGUCGCAGGAACUAUUUGCCGGAUUUCAUCUUGAACCGUAUCUUCCCAAAUGUGCAAUAAAAGUGGACUUCUAAAAAGCCUAUGACACUGUUGAUUGGGACUUCCUUCAACUUACUCUUACGGCGUUUGGUUUUCCUGAUUCUCUUAUUCAACAUAUUAUGGUGUGCAUCCGGACCCUGAAAUACUCUAUUUCUAUCAAUGGAGAGCUUCACAGAUUCUUCCCAGGUGGGAGAGGCCUUCGCCAGGGCGACCCAAUGUCUCCCUACCUAUUCACCCUUGUGAUGGAGAUGUUUUCUGGCAUCUUGAAUGCCCGCACUGCUCUAAAAGAGUUCAAGUAUUUUUGGAGGUGCAAAGCAGUCCAGCCGUCUCACCUUUUUUUUGCCGAUGAUGUAUUUCUUUUCAGUCAGGCUGAUUGGAAUUCCAUCACUGUAUUAAAAAAUGCCUUGGAUUUAUUUUCUUCAUGGAGUGGCUUAAUCUCGAACAAGAACAAGAGCGAAAUUUUUAUCUCGGGUGGGGCCUCUUCUUUGCAGAACUAUAUCCUUUUGGCAUUUGGCUUCCAAGAAGGGAAACUACCAGUGCGUUAUUUAGGAGUGCCUAUCAUCUCCUCUAGGCUUCGGAAAGCAUACUGUAUUGCCUUGAUUGAUUGGAUUACUGCUAGGGCUCAAUCAUGGACUCAACAUUUCCUAUCAUUUGCAGGAAGAUUGCAGCUUAUUAGGUCAGUCCUACAUUCUAUCCAAGCAUUCUGGUCUAGUGUUUUUACCUUGCCGGCUUCAAUUCUUAUUAGCAUCGAGAGAAUUUUCAGACAAUUUUUAUGGAAAGGCACCACGCUUGGCAGAGGUGGAGCUAAGGUUGCUUGGGAUGAAGUUUGCCUUCCCAAAAAUGAAGGAGGAUUGGGUAUUCGCAAGUUGAAGGACUGUAACAAAGCAGCGAUGCUUAAAUAUAUAUGGAUUCUUUUCACAUAUAAAGAAUCCUUAUGGUGUCGUUGGAUUCAUUCCAACUUUUUAAAAAGGAAGAUUUUUUUGAUCUCCUCUUCUCCUACUGUGUGCUCUUGGGCUUGGAGGAAAAUAUUACAUUUAAGAGUAGAAUUUCGGCUUUCUUUCUCCUGGAAAAUUGGGGAUGGACUUUUGGUUUCCUUAUGGUUUGAUCAUUGGCUCUCGAAAGGCCCUCUCGACCAGUUGAUUCCAAAUUCUUUCAUUGAGUCUUCUGGUCUUCCCAAGCAUGCUGUGGUUGCAGAUCUCUUUCCCCCCUUAGGCUAUUCACUCAGAAAUCUUUUAGAAUGCUGGGGAUUUUCCAUUCUGUUGGUUACCUUUGGCCCGGAUCAGUUCCUUUGGCGUCGGCACCCUUCCGGUUCCUUCUCGGUGGCUAGUGCUUGGGAUUGUAUUAGAUCUAAAAACAACCGGGUUCUCUGGGCUUCGCUUAUCUAGAAUAAUGAUAUUGCUCCUAGAUUCCAAUUCAUUCUUUGGUUGAUUACCAAGAACCGGUUGCCUACCUAGGAGUUCCUCCUCGCUUAUGGCAGAAUUGAUUCUAGAACAUGUGCUUUCUAUAAUGAAGUCCCAGGCUCCAUUGAUCACCUAUUUUUUGAUUGUCAUGCUUCGGCUUCUCUUGCCUUCUUUUGGGCUACAAGAUGCAAUUUACCUUGGCAUUUGAGGCCGUGGGUGGAGAUCCUUCCUUGGGCCAUUAAAUUCCUAUCCGAUAAUGAUUUUUUCCACCGUAUCGUUCGCUUCUCUUUUGGUGCCUUAUGCUACUUGAUCUGGAAGAAAAGAAAUGAUAUCAUCUUUUGAGGGGAAACGUUGGUUCUCUUUGCGUUGAAAAAUCACCUUUUAAAGGUUGUCAAGGACAAGUCCAUCACCUUCACCAAUGUUCCGGAUAUUUCGAGGAACAGGCGUCUCCAGAGAAGCCGGAGUCUUGACCCCUCCAUCUUCACCGAUCAUCUUUUGACUUUGCAAUUUGUUCGUGGUUUCUUUCGUAGGCCUGCUUACAAGCUGUCUUCAAGUCUCCGUUCUUUGACUCUUCCAUUGGAGUUGGUUGAGGGUUGUGUGGGCUGUUGCGGGUUGUAGCUUUUGUGGCCAUCUUUGUCUUUUUUUCUUUCGGUUGUUGUUGUUUCCUCCUUUGCUUUGUAGCUUCUUUGCUUCGGCUCGCUUCCACUCUUUUUGCUAUUGCACUUAGAGUGUAAGCUUUGGCGCCAUUUUGUACAUUUGUCCUAAGCUUUAUUUAUUCAUUACCUUUACCAAAAAAAAAAAAAAAACACACACACACACACAUAGGUUUAUACACAAAUGUUUACAAAAGGGAUCGGCUCCCAAUAAAAGAGAAUUGUCCUAUGAUUAGCUAGUCGGACAAGAUCGCCGAUUCUUUGAGCUUCACCUCUUAAACUUCGGGGCUUAUGGUCCUUCACCAAUAUUAUCUAAGGACCUGAAAAUGGUUAUACAAUAACCAGUGAGACAAUAUUUCAGCGAGUUCUACCCCCUAAGACUCGAUUAGGAAGCAAAUACGCCAUAAGGGUUGCCUAAGCACAAUCACAAGUCGGAUGACUUACCUUGAUCUCAGUUCUUCCCUGCAAUUCAACACAAUUCACAAUCUCAUCGAGUCACAUCAACAUAUCAAAUCAUUCACUCAGAUCGACUUAUCGAUCAAUCGACUUAGCCGAUUACAUGUCCAUCAGACUAUUCCCCGAUCAUUCUAAUCAAUACUAUACAUUUUCCAAGAUGAUAUAUCUAGUCACCGAGCCCAGGUGCAUUCUCCAAGAUGACAUAUCUAGUCACCAAGCCCAUGUACAUUCUCCAAGAUGACAUGCCUAGUCACUGAGUCCACGUACAUUCUCUAAGAUAACAUGCCUAGUCACUGAGUCCACGUGCAUUCUCCAAGAUGACAUAUCUAGUUACUAAGCCAAUAUAAUAUAAUGUUCUUUCUCCAAGAUGACAUACUGAGUCAUCAAGUCAAACUAAUAUAAUGUUUUUCUCCGAGAUGACAUACCAAGUCACCGAGCCAACAUGAUAUACGUCUUUCUCCGAGAUGACGUACCAAGUCAUCAAGCCGACAUUUGUUCUCCAACAAUUUCUCACUUUCUAUCAUACUUGGUAAAAUAGCCAUGUGUGGGUACAUGGUUGGCCUUAGCCAAAAUAUAAUAACUUCAUUUCCAUAAAUCUCACCAUUUUAUAUAGUCCACAAAAUAUUUUUGACGUUGUAAACUAACGUUCGGUUAUUUUCCAAUCAAUUACUGAAAUUAAAUCAAUUUAAGAAUAAAUUCCAGAAAUGCAAUUCAUGCACAAUCAGCACAAUUUAAAGCUUAAUUAAAUAAACAAGUUGUUUCACUGCAAUCAGCAUAAAAUUCUGGUCACCGGCUAUUCCGAUCUAAUUUUCAUAAAAUAAAUAAAUAAUUAAAUAAUUACGGAAAUAUAUUAAAUAAAUGCCAAUAAAUCCAACUUAGGCCCGUAAUGCCUAAUUGGACGCCGAAACAGAUCUGAAAAAUUUCUAAGACUUGUUAAAUAAAUACUAGAGUCUAUUUACUCGCUAAUUGCACUAACUAUCCACCUAACAUGUAUUGGUAAUUAAUUAAAUUCACUAAUGUAAUCUAACUAAUCACCUAAUCAUACUUAAUAUAAUCAACCCUUAAGUGUGAUUAACCUACUAAACAAAGAUUAGUAAGUUAAAUUCACUUGUUCGGCGAUCCGGUUGGUGCAAAUCAACGGGGACACAACGGGGCUCGAUUCUCUCCAAAGUGGGCCAAACUUUCAUGGUCCGGAACAACCUCAAAAUGGGCCAAAUCCUUGCUAGAAAACCCACUCCUUAAACUUCUAUUCUUGGCUAGAAAAGAAGAAAAUAGAGGUUGGUUUGGCGAGGUAAGGGUAGUGAAGGUAGUAGGGACACUCGGUGGCCACCGGCAGUGCUUCACGGCGGUUGAACGGGGCGAGAUGGCUCUAAUUGAGCCUGUUGGACGGUGACGCAUGCCUGGAUGACAAGCUGGGUGUGGCUAAGGCAAACGGCACACACGGGCGAAGGCGGAGCAACGAUGGGCUAGCGUGGGGGCGUCGAAUGGCUGCGGUGGCGUGCGGCAGUGACGGGCUGCUCAGCUGGUCUUCUCUGGCUUGCUGCUGGUGUCGAUCAACACAAAUGGAGGUGGGAUGGAGGCUGCUGACCGGUAGGGAUAAGGAGGGGGGCAAGGGGGGUCACUUAGUCUCAUUUUCUCCUUAUUUGUCCUCCAAGACCAAGUCCAACUUGUCCACCAAGCUUGGCCAUCUUCCACUAGCAUUUUCCAGACCCGUUUGCCCCCAUCUAGAAGCUUGAGAGGGUCCAAAAGUCAUGGUGGUGGGGGGCAUACGAAUUUGCUUGAUUCUCUCAUCAAAUGGACACUUAUUCUUGCUUAAUUCAUCACAAACCAGUCUCCAUAAAAUCAACCGAUAUCUCAUUGAUCCAAUUAGUAUUUUUCCUCACCAAUUGAUCCCACUUGCAUCCCAAUUUCGCGAUAAAAAACGAUCCCUGACUUUUUUUUUUGACAAAAACGGCCUUAUGACGAUUUUUUCCCAAAAAGUCUCGGUUUGCAAACAAAUCUCCUAAGACUAAGUCGACGUUCCUAAGAUGAUUUGUAACAUGACAGAACUUUCAAUUUCUGAAAUCGGAUUCAAAUUCGUUGUUAAUUUCACUCUGGCACGUUUUUAGCGUGACCUAGGCUACAAGGUAUCUUUUAGAAAUUUUUAGUGCCAAUGACCCAUGGUCGAUUUUCUUCGAGCCACAAUGAACUCACUCGACACAUUGGUGACUCUCGGUUGUCGUGAAAAUCUCGAGGAUUCAAAUACGAACAUAGGGUACCAAAACGAUAGAAAAAUUAGUUUAAUGUCGGUCGACGAGAAUUUUUCAAUUUAGUGGAGUCACCCAUGUUUAGUCACACAUUUCAAUUGAACCAAUCUAUCUCUAAUUCCUAAUUGACUUAUAUAUGUGCCAUAAUGACCUCUAAAAACAAGUACGGUCGAGUAUUCAAUUCCUGGUCGAAUUCUCCAGUCUAUUGCAUUAAAAUUCCUUAAUGGCUUCCCUAGAUAGUUUAGUUAUCUCAAAGUGAUUAGCUCUGAGAACAGCCCUAUAGGCACGUUGAUGAAAUGUCUGAUUAAUUUAAAUGAAAGCAAAAGUGAAAAAUUCAAGAUGUCACAACAUGCUUAAUUUUGAGUUGAGCACGAGUUCGAAUCCCUCAAGUAUCUUAUCGAGUUGAGUUCGCGCUUUUUGAUACUUAGCUCGAUACCUUAUCGAGCUUUCAUUAUUAAAAGCAUUUGAUAACUAUAAAAAUAUAUAUGAAGAUAUAAUAUCCGAGCUUACAAAAUCGAAGCUCGAGUUUUGAUUGUAAGUUUGACUAUAAUCAAAUUGAGCUAGGGUAUUAUGAAACCCUAAGUGCCUUCGAUCAUUAGGACCUUUGCUCUUAUUAGCCAUCAAAGAGUUUUCCCAACAGGAGGUGUGGUUUUUCUUAGCGAACUUGCUUGGUCUCUGAAGCGACUCUGCCGUACAGAGAGGGUGGGGGGUUCUUGUCUUCAUAAUGGAUUGUCAUUGGAUUUUGAUUCCGAAAGGGGCAUAAUCGUCUUUUUAGUGAAAUAAUCUUACUUGAUGAGACAAUCCUUCACUGGAGAAAGGGCACAUGGAAAGUGGGAAAAUAAAAGAUAACAAUUUUGUCCAAUUUCGGUGAUGAAUAAAUUAAGAUAGAUUUAACUUAACAAAAAACCAGAAAAUUUAAUUCUGAUGGUGCUAUAAAUUGAAGUAAUUGUAAUUGUGAAGUGUUAGGGAUUCUAUUCAAUUAAAUGUCAUGUUUUUACUAUAAAAAAACCCCUAAAUUCGGUAUUCAUAUUACAAAUUUACCUUAAACUAUUUUUUUGAAUAUCAAAAACCUUAAACUGGUACACUUGUAAUAAAUUCACCAAAAACUAAUUUUUUAUCACAAAAAACCCCAAAUUGAUAGAUCCUAACAAAUUUACUCAAAACUAAUAUUUUAACAACAAAAAGCUCCAAACUGAUAAACUUACGACAAAUUUAUCUUCUGUUAACUUCUGUCAAAUUUUACUAUUAAAUUUGCUAACGUGGAUAACACAUGGUAAUGUGUCAUGUCCAUAGGGUAAAUAUCAUGAAAAACUCCAAACCGAUAUACUUAUAACAAAUUUAACGUUACUUUUGUGAUAAAUUUAAUGAUACGCCUAUGAUAAAUUUGGGAUUUUUUGUGACAUUAAUCCAAUGAAUUAUUACAUGGACUUGCUAUGUCACCAUAACAUGUCACAAUGUGUCAUUUACCUUAACAAAUUUAAUGGUAAAAUUUGAUGGAGUUUAAUAGAAGGUAAAUUUAUCACAGUCAUACCAGUUGGGAAGUUUGGAGAUUAUCAUGAGUCUACCAAUUUAAGGUAAAUUUAUCACAAGUAUAUUAAUUUGAGAUUUUUAGUUGUCAAAAAAUUUAUUUAGGAUAAACUUAUUAUGAAUGUACCAAUUUGAAAUUUUUCUUAAUAUUAACCCUUUAAUUUAUUGGCCAAGGUUACUACAUUCGUAAUUUGCAACCUCCACGGAUAAAAGCAACAUUAUGAGAGUUGAAAUGUGAAAUGAUUUAACAACAAUCCUAAACCUUUAAUAUAUCAAUUCAAUUCUCAACUUUUAAAUUUGAUUAAUUUAAUUCUAAAUAUUUUAAAGAUUUAUUUUGCGAUACAAUCAACACUAAUUAAAUAAUGCAACACAAUCAAUGCUAACGUAAAAAAAAAAAAUCAAUUUUAAAAAAAAAAAUCUGAUUUUUUUUUCCUUCCUUUUCUUUUCAUUUCUUCGUACUUUGUUUUCCCUUCUUCUUCUUUUUUUGCUUUCCUUCUUCCCCUGCCAAUUGCCUAGCCUGGGCAAAGGCCACAACAUCCUUGCCAAGGGUUGACCUCAUCGUCAAAGGCUCCAAUUCAUUACCACACCAAGGACGCACCACAUAAAAUAUACAAAAUUAGAGAACCCAAUGCCUUUCCUUUUGCUUUCCCAUAAAUAAAAAACAAUGUCAACUCCAAAAUAGAAGAAACUUCUCCAAGCACUACAUAGAUGCAAACAAAUCGAAUGUUCAUAGUAUGUCCUCAUAUUUGAAGGUUGUACACGCCAUAAGAUGAUCAGUGGGAGCGACAUUUCACACAAGGAUCCUAACAAGCAGAAUCCUAUAUUAUUCAUGAUUCAAACUACUAUGAAAUAUCGACCAAUCCCAAGCAGUUUCAGCCAUUAGACAAAUUAAUCAAGGUACUGAUCCACAGUCGUGUAUUUGACGUCGGGAUAGAGCUCUGAAGCUUCCACGCCGAACGAUGGCUCAAUCUCAAAGUUGUUUUGGUCUCCUUUCACGAAAACGGAAUGAGAUAUUGCCAAUAUCACAUUGAGCGGAACUGCUGCCUCUGCAAUAUCAUCAGACAAGUAGAUUGAUCAAUGUCAGAAUACUAAAAUCCCGGAGAGAAAUUGACAAUUUUACAUGCUUAAAUCUAAUAGAAAUGCAUCCCUAACCUAGAAUGUUCUUCAAAACUUGCUCCUCUGGAACGUAAACCCUCUCCAGGGUCUUGCCGAUCUUUCUCUCCCACAAAGACACGAGAUCAUUAAAUGAGUAGGCGUUGGCAGGAGGUCUGAUGUACAUAAUUUUGUUCAGGGUCCUUGGAUCAUCCAUAGCUUUAAUGGUAUAGGUGCCAAUGUCAUCCUCCUUGUUAAACAUCGAUGUAUAUUGACGGGGAGAAUUUUAGAAUUCAGUUAAUAAAUAUAAGCCAUCAAUAUUCCUAGAGUUACUUUCAGCUUGCAUUCAAAGAAGAAUUUUUUCGAUAAACAAAAUCACCGGACAACUCGCAAACAACUGCAUCCAUACAUUCUUUUUUCUAUCAAAUACAUUAAGAUAACCUUCAUGAUCUGCUGCCCAGGUAGUGUUGUGCCAAGAUAAACCAAAUAACUUCCAUGUCAUCCGUUAGUCUCUGAAAGUGAAGACUAAUGGAUGUAAAAGGCCAACAUCUCCAGACACAGAAGAUGCCUAGAAUUCUCAAGCUUCGAGAACUACCCCACUCUGAUCACUACUGUGAUUAAGUUGUGAAAAAUGUACAGAAAAAACUCAAAAAUUAAAAUGUGCAUCUCAAGAAAUUGCUUCUUACCUUUUACAUUUCCAUCCCCUAAAAUAACAACUUUAUCUCUAGGGGGACUGUAGCCCCAGGCUGCGACAACGUUGGAAGGAAGUAACCUGCAAAAAAGUUAGAAGACACAUAGGUAUAAGGGAUUCCCUCAGCCUCAACAAGGUGGUGAAUCUUGGCCUUAAUAGCAAAUGCAGUUUUUGCUGGCUCCACAGCAUGGACACGAUCCACAUCAUUUCCAAAUUCUGAAGGUAAGAAUCUCUGUGAAGCAAAUUAACUAAAUUAGAAGAAACAUUUUCACUAGAAAGCAACAAAAAACUAGAGUAUAUACCCCUUAUCGAACAAACUUACAUGAGUUCUGGCAAACAAAGAAAACAAACUUACUUGAGAUUGAAUUUCACGUUUUAAUACGUUACUAUAACAGAGUAAAAAUGAUUACAAGUGAAUCAAUACGAGCAAUGAAGCAAAUUUAACCCCAAGUGCUAUUAGAAAAAUAGAAGAAAAGAAAACUGAAGAUUUAAUUGUCAAGGCAUCAGCUAGAUAAGUCUGUCACGUAUAAAAUAUGCAAACAUGCCGUUAGCUUGGACACUUUCACAAGUAAUAAAAUAUUAGGUAAGCCCAAUGCCUUUUGUGAGUAUAUGCUGAGCUCCACUCACUAUGGACCGUCAUCCCCCAAAGCAACAACUACUAAACUAUCCACUAACUAGGUUUUGGUAACUUAUUUACAACAAUAAUGAAACCACCAAAGAGAGACCACUUGAAGGAUUAAGUAGUUCAUGUUUUCAUUCAUGAUCAAACAGCACGGUAGAUGACCGCAAUCCAUAUUGAGUGCUUGAAACCCUUUUAACUUUUCCAAUGACCUAGAGUAAACCCAACCGCAGUGAAGCCCGCACUGUCCGGUACUCAAAUUUGAAAUAGUUGUACUGAAAUUUCACUCACGACUUCUACACAAAGUCAUGACUAUAUAUUAGAAAGGAAAGAAAUGAAGUCUACGGACUAAAAAGUCAAAUCCAUCCCAUUUCGACACAUUGCCCACCGAUCUUUACAAGAUCAUAACAAGGAAUCUUACGGUUCUUACCAUGACAUCUGCAGAACAAAUCAGCCACAUUUACUUCUAUAUAAAAGUUCAUCUACGCAGUACAGAACAUAUGGAAAAUUUCGUAAAAUUUGUCUAUAAAUGUACUCGUUCGUAUCAGCAUGCGAAGCUGAGAUGAUUCGUCAGUAACAAAAUAACAGAGGAGAGAAAGAGAAACACCAAGCCGUAACGUGACUCCGUCGUCAACUGCGAUCUUGUGAAAGAUCGAGAUAAAAAUCGUCUCCGAUUCUAUGGCUAAAGACAUUUCUCCGAAUGAAGAACAAGAUGAACGGCAGGCGACGCUUCGAUUCCUCGAAGCAGCACCACAUGCGGGAAACGAACAGAGAUUGCACGGGAAUGACUACUCACGUGAACUAAAUUGAUGCCAAGCCUCUUGAAAACUACUACGAUUCCGGCCUUGGCGGGGCUGGAGAGAGUGGACUCCCUCACGAGAGCGAAGGUAGGGUGACCGGACUUGGCACUCGCUUCCACGAUGAACUUUCCGGUGUAUCCGGUGCCUCCGAUCACCAGGACCUUGCUCAUCUUCUCAAUACGUGCUUUUUUACGGGUACGUUGAUCGAAGGUUUCCGGAACUGCUCUGUUGUUGCCAGAGAGAGGCAUAGCGAGAGAGAGAGAGAGUGGGGGAGAUAGAAUAUAGAGAGAUGGGGGGAGAGAGGGAGAGAUAAAAAGCGGGGAUCCCGUCUUAACGACGAAGCGUCAAAUUUAGUGCAUCCUAGAAGGGUAUAAUCGUCUUUUCAGUGAAGUGAUUUUUUCUCGUCCUUCACUGGAAAAAGGGUACGUGGAAAGUCGGAGACUUUGCAGAAGAAAAUGAAAAUGUGUGAAAUAAGCCAAAAUAUGAAAAUUUGAAUUUUAAGUUUGGAAGGUGCUGGAAAUACAGGUAAUGGCAUGAUUUUGAAACGUGAGAGACUCGAAUUAACUUCAUAUUAUGAUUUUAUUUUAUUAAGCCAUCACAAUUGACAUUGAUUUUUCAUGUGACCGAAAAGGAAAGAGCUUUUCAUAUUAUGAUUUUAUUUCUCUAAUUACGUGUCAAGCCAUUGCAAUUAAUAAUAAUUUUUCAUGUGACCAGUGAGGAAAGAGUUGAAAUCGCAUAUUAGGGUUAUCGGAUCAUAUUAAGAAAAGAAAGUGAAAAUGGUAUCAAAGGGCAACGAACUGCUCUCCAUGCAUGUUCUGUGUUGAUCAAAAGAUUGCUGUUUUUCAUUUUCUUUUUUUUUUUUAAAAAGAAAAAGAAAAAAGAGAACAACCUUGUUAGAUUCGUUUGGGAAUUCAAGAGAAAGCAUGAUGUAAGCAAAUCAUAAGCAUGAUGCGAUAAUCUCUUUAUGAUUAAAGUUAAAGGAAUUUAAGUUUGGAUGUCCAUUCGAAUUGAAAAUGAAAUUUUUAUUUAUUUUAUAAAGUUAGUGAGAUAUUUCAUAGUACUGUCGUUGAGAAAAGGCCCCAAAAAUCUAUGCCCACCGUCCAUGGUAUGGUGCGAAAUAAUUCAUUAAUUCAGUCCACUAAUACACAAAUGGCCGAGCUUGGAGAUGGGAAUUUGUUUUGUUGUUAUACAUGCACGUAGAUGCAAUCGCAAAACUCUUACCAACAAUAUAAAUUGCCAAAUUUUGAAUGUGACUCUUGAAGUUUUGGCCCAGUCCAAAUCGACCCCCUGCUGUUACUUUUCUGUGAAUCAACUCUAGAAAUCUGUCACAAUUGAGUCCAAAGUGAUCACUAUUCCGGCAGGGAGAUCAGAUCGAAUUGAGGCCAGGAUGUCCUUACUUCCAUAUGAAUUGUGAAGUUAAAUGGCAAGGAUAAAACCAUUUUAAAAUUGUUUACAACUUGCUUAGAACUUAAACACUUGAAAGGGAAUUUUAAAUUUUGAGACGAAUAAUCAACGAUCAAAUACUUAUUACUAAACGUGUCCCAUACCGUUAUAACAACUCUCCGAACAUAUUGGCAAAAGUCUUUUGUCGGUCUCGACAGCAAAAAAUCUUCCAAUUUCAAGAGGCGCAAUAAAUCUAUGAAAACUCCCGGUUGGAGUAUAUACUAAGAUUUAUUAUGACGGUUCACUUUCUAAAUUUAAAUGGACCCAAAUGAUAGCAAUUUAGCACGGUCUUGACCCCGUUCACAACUUCUAUUCGGUCGUAAUCCCAGACAUACACUAUUAUUGGCAUCGCAGACUAUUUGAUAAGAUGGACAGCAGAAAUUUCGUUUCAUAAAGAAGGAGCGACAUAGCAUGACAUGCCUCAGAAAUGGAGAAACUCUUUCUUUUCGCUUGGCCGAUAAACCCAUGUCAACUCCAAACAGAAUUAACUUCUCCAAGCACUGUGUAGAUUCGCACAUAUUGAUUGUUCAUAGCAUGUCCCUAUAAUUGGAGGUUGUACAAGCCAUGAGAUGAUCAGCGGGAGCAACAUUUCAUACGAGGAUCCUAAGAAGCAGCAUCCUCUAUUAUCUAUCAUUCGAGCUGAUGUGAGAAACUUACCAAGCACAGUAGGUUUUGAUAAUCAAACAAACUAAUCAAGGUACUAAUCCACAAUCGUGUAUUUGACACCGGGGUAGAGCUCUGAAGCUCCACUUUGAACGAUGGUUCAAUUUCGAAGUUGGUUUGGUCUCCUUUCAUGUAGAUAGAAUGGAAUAUGGCCAACUAGGCAUUGAGUGAAAUUGCCGCCUCUACAAUAUGACCGGAAAAGUAGACCAAUUGAAGCUUGAGAAUACAGAUAAUUUCACAUGCUUAAAUCUAAUGAAAAAGCAUCCCUAACCUUGAAUGUUCUUCAGAACAUUCUCCUCUAGAACAUACACUCUCUCCAGGUCCUUGCCAAUCUUUCUCUCCCACAAAGACACGAAAUCAUCAAACGAGGAGGUGUUGGCAGGAGGUCUCAUGUACAGAAUUCUGUCCAGGGUCCUUGGAUCAUCCACAGCUUUGAUGGUAUAGAUGCUUAUGUCAUCCUCCUGGUUAAACAUGGCUAUAUAUUAAAGAGGAGAGUUUUAGAAUUUGGCUAACAAAUAAUUCACAGAGCCAUUGAUCGUCCUAGAGUUACUUUCGAGUUGUAUUUAAUAAAGAAUUCUCUCGGUAAAUAGAUUCACUAGGCCCUUGGCAUCGGUAUGUUCUUCUUCAUACCAAAUAUGAUCAAGAUAACCUUCUUUAUAUGCUGAAAAGGCGGUACUGUGCCAAGAUAACCCACAUGCAGAUAACCCACAUGACAUUCGUAUCAUCUUUUAGUCCUUAAACUUGAAGACUAAGGUAUGCAAAAGGCCCAAUAUCUCCAGACAAGGAAACUGCCUGGAAUUCUCAAGCUUCAAGAACUGCCCCUUACUCUGAUCACUACCAUAAUUAAAUGGAUGCACAGAAAAAUCUCAGUGGCCUAAAAUGCGCAUUUCAAUGAAUUGCUUCUUAUCUUUUGCAUUUCCAUCCCCUAAGAUGACAACUUUAUCUCCAGGGGAAGCUGUAGCCCCAGGCAAUGACUAUGUUGGAAGGAAGUAACCUGCAAAGCAAUUACGACAUACAUCAGUAUAAGGGAUUCCCUCAGCCUAAACAAGAAGGCAGAUCUUAGACUUAGUUGCGAGUAUAGCUUUCACUGGCUCCACGGCAUGGACACAAUCCACAUCAUCUCCAAUGUCUGAAGGCAAGAAUCUCUAAAAAGAAACAUAAUCAAAUCAGAAGAAACAUCUUUACCAGAAAGCAACAAAAACUUAGAGCAUCUCCUUAACCAACAAACUUAUAUCUCUUGCAAAAGAAAAACUAUAUAAGACUUAAUUUCAUGUUGUUUACAUAUGUUACUAUAAACAAAGUGAAAAGUGAUUAUCAGUGAAUCAAUUAAUUCAGCAAUUAAGCAAAAAUAGAAAAAUAGAGGAAACGGCAGCAGCCAGAUAACUAUCUCAAGUACAAAAUAGGCAAAUAUGCUGCUUGCUUGGACACUUCCACAAGAAAUAAGAUUUCAGGUAAGUCCAUUGCCUUUUGUGAGCAUGCCGAGUUCCACUUAUUAUUGACCAUCGACCACCCAAAGCAAUGAGAACUACUAAGUUCUAUCCCAGCAAGUGGGAUUAACAUAUUUGCAACAAUGAUAAUACUACUGAAAAGACCACAUUGAGUGCUCGAAACUUUUACAUUUUUGGUUGACCUAGAGGAAACCUGACAUCACGCAGUUUCAGGAUAGAUAAACCCUCCUGGAGUAUGUAGGCAGCCCAAUAUCCAUACAAAUAUCGAGACAGAGGAGGGCGCGAGUUUGAGGUCAAAGAGCCUUUGUGUGCGUGAAGAUAUAAAUCUAUGAGUAAAUUACAUGUACAUAUUAAUGAGUUCGUGUAGAUGGUACAUUUUGCAUCCAUGAUGACAGAAUUCCCUACCCAAUUAAAUUCGUCAAAGAGAAAUUGCGUGGAUUCAGAGCAGCCCACUUAGAAGACCAAACUGUCCUAUACUUGGGUUUGAAAUAGCUAUCGUCGAAUUUCACCGAUCACUUCUACACAAAGAGAUGACCAUUGAAGAAAAAGAAGUGAAGUCUGCAGAUAAAUAAGUCAAUCCACCUCAUUUCAUCGAAGCGGAGCUCAAAAGAGAAAGUAGUGCACCUACAUCAUCAGUCAAAUGGUAAACGAACAAUGGUAACAACAAUGAAAUAAUUAGAAACAGCACCACCUCAACAGUCCUGGCUGCUUUAGUGGCAGAAAAAAUCUUGUCUUGGUCCUCUAGUUGUUCGUUCCCAACAACAGAGAUUACCACAUCAACCUGCUUAAUCACGUUCAGUAGAAUCUUCUGGUCAUAUAUGUCUCCUUGAGAAUCAAAUAACCAAGAGCAUGGACAAACAAUCAAUGAAUGAAGUCAGCAAUCAUCCGCAAGAUUCAUCUGCGCAGCAAAGUGCAGCUACGUAGCUACAGUUGUCUCAUAAACCGCUAAAGCAUACGGAAGUUUCCACAAAAUUUGUUCGAAAAUGUGCACGGUCGUAUCAUCAUGCAACGCCGAGAUUUCUUCAGGCAUUCGAAAAACGAGAGCCACGUGAUUUCUUUUCUAACAUAUACAAAGACAAAACAUCAGAGAAUAGAAAGAGCAACACCAACUCCAUUAACUCCAUGAACUGAAAUAUUUAGAAAGAAAGCAGCUCCGAUUCUACUGCUAAAAACAUUUCUCAGAAAGGCAAACGAGAUUAUCGGCACGCGACGCUUCGAUUUUUCUAAGUAGCACCGAAUGCGGAAAAUGAACGAAAUCGCACGGGAAUAGCUACUCACGCGAACUAAAUUGACGCCUAAGCUUUUGAAACCUUCGACGAUUUUGGCCUUGGUGGGAUUGGAAAGCGCGGACUCCCUCACAAGAGCGAAGGUAGGGUGACCGGACUUAGCACUCGCUUCCACGAUGAACUUUCCGAUGUAUCCAGUGCCUCCGAUCACUAGGACUUUGCUCUUCUCCGGCAUCUCAGAGGGUUUUCUCACGGCGGAGGAGUGGCCUUUCUGGCCAGCGUGAUUUGUCUCGUGCUGCAACUGUUGGCGCUCGUCGAGAUGAGUGGUCCUUUUGUUUUGACUCCGGAAGGACAUAUUUAGUGAAUUGAAAUUUUUGCUAGCAUACAAUCUACUGUGAGGAAAUGGAUUUCAUAAUAAAUUAUAAUUAUUUACAAUUUAAUUUUUUAUGAUUCAGAAUAGACUAUUAUUCUCAUAAUAUAUUAAAAAUUAUCAUGUAAUCAUUUUUAAAUUUAAUUUUUAAUUAGAUACAAAUUACUUACCUAUCGAUUUUGACUACGAUAAUGUGAAUUUUUUUUUGAAAAUAGGAAUAAGUUAACUUACCGAAAAUAAGAAAUUAUGAAUUUAAGUUUUUUAGAGAUAUAAAAUUGAUUGCUGUGUUGACAAAUCUCAUAAAAAAGAAAAAGAAAUCAAUGGGCCUAAUUUAUGGUGGGCUAUAAUCACGGAAUUAAAAAAUGAAACCUUCCCUGUCGAGGACAAAAGUUGGUUGUUACUUCCUGACAAGAAAAAAGUUAUUUUAUCUUUUCUUCAGUAGAUAUUGUUGACAUUUAAGCCUCGUUCGUGUACUUUGGACUUUUAUAAAACGGUGUGAGACUGGGAGUUGGAGGCAGCCAUAGAAACAGCAUUCUCAAUAAGAAGGUUCUCCAAUUUUUGGUGCUCUUUUUCCAAAUUUUUAAAGUUCAUAAUAUUAUUAUUCUUUUGAAUCCAACAUUUGGUAUAAUGUUAUCCAUCAAAUUCAUCCAAUGACAACUUUCAAAGUUAAACAAAAGGAAUUUCAAUAAUUAGCCUGGCUAGAUGAAAGUUCUUUUUAAAUCACAAAAUUUGCAAAAUCUAGUUGACAAUGACUAAAUCAAACUAGCUGAUGCUGAGUAGUAUAUGCGACCUUUCAAGCCGGGGAUGAAAGGAUAUUUGAAAAAAUACCAAGCACAAACACUACAAAAGCGGUAUGUGAUAUUUUGCAAAAAUUCUACAAAGGCUAUUGUCAUGUAAGACAGAUGCGGCUUCAGAAAUAAGGUAAUUUUGAGUCUCUAUACAUGAAUAAUUAUAAAUCAAUCUCAACAUAUUUUGAUUUUGUACAAACUAUCAUUAACCAAUUAAGGAUUAAUGGUGAAAAACUUCAAGAAGUACAAGUGGUUGAAAAAAUCUUGGAGUAUUAAUUGAAAUAUUUGACUAGUUGUCGUAACAGUCAAAUAAGGGUGGGAUGUGACAAUCUUUGGAGUGAUUGAUGGGUUCAUUGUACUUGUGUGAGCAAAGAAUGAAUUAAAAGUCCAUUGAUUUAAAUCCCGAGCAAGCUUUGUGUAGUCAAGUUAGUCAAUUAAGCUGAGGAGGGAAGAGGUUGUCGGAGGUUCUCGAGAUAGAGGUGAAAAUUCAAAUUCCAGCGAAAAAUAUAUAAAACAUGACAAAUCAAAACUCAAGUGUUCUAAGUGCAACAAAUUCGAAUAUUAAAAAUCUGAGUUUCAGGCAAAGAUGUAGUACAAGCAUGCAAAACAAGCGCACGCAAUUGAUGCUGACGAAAACAUAGUGCUAGCAUGCAAAAAAGAUGACUAGAGCACCGUGUACAGCAACAUCUAUUAUUGACAUUUGUGCUUAGUAUGUACUCGGACUUGGAGGUUUGUCCAUGCCAUGAGAUGAACAGCGGGAGCCGCAUUUCACACUAGGAUCCUAAGAAGCAGCAUCCCAUAUUAUUUACUAUUCAAGCUAAUGUGAGAAAUUUACCGAGCACAAUCGAUUUUGACAAUCAAACAAACUGGUCAAGGUACUAAUCCACGGUUGCACAUUUGACAUCGGGGUAGAGUUCCAAAGCUUCCACACCAAACGACGGCUCAAUCUCAAAGCUGGUUUGAUCUCCUUUCACAAAAAUUGAAUGGUAUAUGGCCAACAUGUGAUUGAGUGGGAACGCUGACCAGUCGAAGCUUGAGAUAGAGAUAAUUUCACAUGCUUAAAUCUAAUAGAAAAUGCAUCCCUAACCUUGAAUGUUCUUUAGAACUUGCUCCUCUGGAACGUAAACCUGCUCUCGGGUCUUGCCGAUCUUUCUCUCCCACAAAGACACGAGAUCAUUCAUCGAGUAGGCGUUGGCAGGAGGUCUGAUGUACAGAGUUGUGUUCAAAGUCCUUGGAUCAUCCACGGCUUUGAUGUUAUAGGUGCCAAUGUCAUCCUCCUCAUUAUUCACCACUAUAUAUCGACGGGAGAAAGUUUUAGAAAUCGGCUAAUAAAUAAAUCACAGAGGAAUCGAUCUGCCUACAGUUACUUCCCGCACGUACUUAAUAAAGAAUUCUCUCGAUAAACAGAUUCAUCAAACAACUGGCAUCCAUAUGUUCUUUUCUCAACCACAUACAUCAAGAUAACCUUCUUUAUAUGCUGAACAGGUGGUAUUGCGCCAAGGUAACCCACAUGACAUUCAUAUCAUCUAUUAUUCCCUAAAUUGAAGACCUAAUGGAUGCAAAAGGCCCAACAUCUCCAGCCAAGGAAGUUGCCUGGAACUCUCAAGCUCCAAGAGCUGCGCCUCACUUUGAUUGCUAUCGUAAUUGAAUCGUGAAAGAUGUAAAAAAAAUCUCAACGGCUUAAUAUGCGAAGCAUUUCGACAGAUUGCUUUUUACCUUUCACAUUUCCAUCUCCUAAGAUGACAACUUUAUCUCUAGGGGGAACUGUAGCCUUGAGCUGUGCCAAUGUCGGAAGGACAUAACCUGCAAAACAUUUACAAACAUACAUAGGUAUAAGGGAUUCCCUCGGCCUCAACAAGGCAGCGGAUCUUAGCCUUGAUGGCAAGAAGAGCUUUCGCUGACUCCAGAGCAUGGACACAAUCUACGUCAUUUCCAAUCUCUGAAGGAAAGAAUCUCUAAAAAGAAACAUAAUGAAAUCAGAGGAUACAUCUUUAUUAGAAUGCAGCAAAAAUUUAGAGCAUAUUCCCCUAAACCAAAAAACUUAUAUGAGUUUUGGCAAAAACAAAGGAUGAGGAACUUACAUGAGACUGAAUUUCUAGUUGUUUCAUUAUGUUACUAUAACAGAGUAAAAUGUGAUUAUAAGUGAAUCAAUUUAUUCAGCAAUUCAGUAAAUUNNNNNNNNNNNNNNNNNNNNNNNNNNNNNNNNNNNNNNNNNNNNNNNNNNNNNNNNNNNNNNNNNNNNNNNNNNNNNNNNNNNNNNNNNNNNNNNNNNNNCAAUAUACACCCAGUCUUGAGCAAGUUCGCCGGGAAAAACCAUGCCUCCACCAUGAAAGAACCCUUCGAGAUGGCCGAAAAGAGCAUAGUGCUGGUGAUUGGAGGCACUGGAUACUUCGGAAAGUUCAUUGUGGAAGCGAGUGCUAAGUCCGCUCACCCUACCUUCACUCUCGUGAGAGAGUCCGCUCUCUCCAACCCUGCCAAGGCCGGCAUCGUGGAAGGUUUCAAGAGCUUAGGUGUCAAUAUAUUCCAGGUGAGUAGUUAUUCCCGUGCGGUUGUGUUCGUUCGCCAUUCUGAGAAAUGUUUUUAUCAGUAGGAUCGGAGUUGAUUUUUAUAUUUAUUUCUCUCUUGAUCGAGUUGAUGGAGUCACGUUACGAUAUGGCGUUGCUCUUUCUCUUCUCCAAUAGUUUGUCUUUGUGCAUGGAUGAGAUCAGAAAUCACGUCCCUCUCCUUUUUCAAAUGCCUGACGAGAUCUCAGCUUCGCAUGAUGAUACAAACAUGCACAUUUUCAGACAAAAUCUUAUGGGAAACUUUGAUAUGCUUUAGCUGUUUCUGAGACUGCUAUAGCUAAGUAGCUGCGCUUUGCUGUGUAGACAAAUCUUGCCAGUAAUUGCCGACUUCAUUGAUCAUUCGUGCAUACUCUUGGUUAUUUGAUUCUCAGGGAGACAUAUACGAUCAAAGGCAGGAGGUCUGAUGUACAGAAUUUUGUUCAAGGUCCUUGGAUCAUCCACAGCUUUAAUGGUAUAGGUGCCAAUGUCAUCCUCCUUGUUAAACACUGCUGCAUAUUGAGGUGGAGAGUUUUAGAAUUUGGCUAAUAAAUAAAUCACAGAACCAUUGAUCUUCGUAGUUACUAAUGUUAAACGAGCAAUGGUAACUCGGAUGAAAUUAUUAUAAACAGCACGACCUUGAUAUUCCCGGCUGCUUUGAUGGCUGCAACAAUCCUAUCUUGGAUCUCUACCUGUGUUUGCCCCACGGCAGAGAUUACCACAUCAACCUGCUUAAUCGCAGUUAACAAACUCUCUUGAUCAUAUAUGUCUCCCUGAGAAUCAAAUAACCAAGAGCAUGGACAAACAAUCAAUAAAGUCGCCAAUCAUCAAUCAAUCCUAUCUUGGCCAGUAGGAAGACUAUGAAAAAGGAUAGAUAUGAAGUCCGAUGCAGAAAGACUUCAAAGACUUCAAAACCUUCACUAGACGAGAAAAAGUAUUUUAAGAAAUAAAGCAUCCACAGAAUUAUCGUCCAUACAUUGCCUACCGAUCUUUUGAAAGGUUAUAGCAAGGGAUUUGCGGUGACAUCUGAAUAAAAGGUCAGUCACAUUCACUCUUAUAUACAAGUUCAUUUAGGCAGUACGUAAAAUAUGGAAGUUUUUGUAAGAUUUGUUUAAAAAUGUAAUCUAUUCGUACUUCGUAUCAGAAUGCGAAGCUGAGGUGAUUCGUCAGUCAAUGUGAAAAACGACCAAUAAUUCAGGGACAAAUUACUGGAGGAGGGAAAGAGAAACACCAAAUAUCAACUCAAUCUUGUGAAAGAUUGAGAUAAAUGGCGACUCUGAUUCUACGGUUAAAGACAUUUCUCAAAACGACGGAUGAGAUUAAUGGUAGGGGAUGCUUCUAUUUCCAUAGGAGCACCAAAUGCGAGAAACGAACAGGAUUGCAUCGGAAGAACUACUCACGUAAACUAAAUUGACGCCUAAGCUCUUGAAACCUUCGGCGAUGUUGGCCUUGGCUGGGUCGGAGAGAAUGGACUCCCUCACGAGAGCGAAGGUAGGGUGACCGAACUUAGCACUUGCUUCCACGAUGAACUUUCCGAUGCAUCCGGUGCUGCCGAUCACCAGAACUCUGCUCUUCUCGGCCAUCUUGGAGGGUGCUUUCACAGCGGAGGCGUCGUUCUUCCUGGCGAUCUUGAUCGGUCUGUGAAGUGACUCUGUUAUAACUGUAUGUGUGUGUGUCUAUAUAUAUAUAUAGAGAGAGAGAGAGAGAGAGAGAGCUAAAAGGCGGCGGGCUAAAAGGUGGCGGUUCUUGUCUUCGUGACAGGAUAGAGACUCGAGAGUCAUUGGAGGAUUCCGGAAGGGCGUAACCGUCUUUUCAUUGAAAUGAUUUUUCUUGUUGAGAUAAAUCCUUCAUUGGAAAAAUGGUACAUAGAAAGUGGGAAAAUAGACAGAAGAUAAGAUUUUGUUUAAUUUCAGUGAUGAACUAAAUUAUUGUGAAGAAAGAUAGAUUUUCUAUUUCUUUUUUGGUAAAUAAUCAAUAUAUUGAGCGUAAACCAAAACUAUACAACACAGUCUGGCACCAAAGACUUACUAUCAUAAGGACAAAUUAGUCCGAAUGAGUAGAGGGAUGCCGACAAAACAACAACAGCCACCAAACAAGUUAGGCACAAAGCCAACAAAGCUGAGGCAAAUAUAAGAUAGAUUUUAACUUAGCAAAAAACAAGAAAAUUUAAUUUUGAUAUUGCUAUAAAUUUACGUAAUCAUAAUUGAUGAGGAAAUAGUUGACACUACCUUUUUUACGUUGCCGCCGCCAACCCGGGUAGCCCGCUCACGGUGGGGGCUACCCGGGCCUCUUCAUUUCCCUAAACCCAGCCUAGUAUGCUAGGAGAAUGGCUUCACGGGGAUCCGAGGUGGGCUCCCCUUCCUUUUAGAGGGGUUGGCGGGGAAGCCAUGGGGACAUUAUCCCGUAAUCCUAGUUAAACCCCCUGUAAAUGGGGGCUAACUGGGCAUCCUGUGAUGCCCGAUUCAGGGUGGAGCAGUUUAAGGACCUGCUUAGGUCCUAACCGUCUUUUCAUUGAAAUGAUUUUUCUUGUUGAGAUAAAAUCCUUCAUUGGAAAAAUGGUACAUAGAAAGUGGGAAAAUAGACAGAAGAUAAGAUUUUGUUUAAUUUCAGUGAUGAACUAAAUUAUUGUGAAGUAAGAUAGAUUUUUUUUUUUUUUUUGAUAAAUAAUCAAUAUAUUGAGCGUAAACCAAAACUAUACAACACAGUCUGGCACCAAAGACUUACUAUCAUAAGGACAAAUUAGUCCGAAUGAGUAGAGGGAUGCCGACAAAACAACAACAGCCACCAAACAAGUUAGGCACAAAGCCAACAAAGCUGAGGCAAACGUAAGAUAGAUUUUAACUUAGCAAAAAACAACAAAAUUUAAUUUUGAUAUUGCUAUAAAUUUACGUAAUCAUAAUUGAUGAGGAAAUAGUUGAAACUACCUUUUUUACGUUGACUUUUAUCAUAUGAAAAAGAUAAGAAAAUGGUAUGAAAUGGGCAAUGAGCUACUCUACAUUUAUAUGGUAGCAUGAUAUUAUACAGCUACAUAGCUGUUGUGGUAUUGUUUCAAGGUUCAAUAAAUUCUUUUUCCUAGGUGGGUUGACACAAGAUUACCAUUCUUUAAUUGGCCAACAUAAGAUUACUAUAUUUGUAAUUCAUAACCUCUAUGGGAGAAAAAAGCAACAAUGCGAGUGUCGAAAUAUGGAAUGAUUAGUAAAAAGUUGUUAAACCUUUGACAUGUAUACCAAUUCAAUUUUAAAUAUUUUGAUUUGAUUAAUUUAAAUCUAAAUUUUUUAACGAUUGACCUUGCGAUACAAUCCCAAGUAGUACCAACACCGAUACGCAAUACACAAAAUGACAUGACAUGAUAUGCCAACACGUCUAUCUAAGAAAAGAAAAGAAAUCGAACACAUUAGGACACAUCGUAUAUUAAAUAUAUAUUUUAUAUAUACAUGAUAAAUUAUCAUUUCUAUGAUUAUUUUAAUCAAAUUAAUUUAAUUCAAAUUCACAAAUAAAUAAAUAAUAAAAAAAAAGACUAGAAUGAAUUUACACUAAAAAUUGUGAAUUAUAGGAAGUGAAAGUCAAAAGAGAAGAGGAGAUUAGGUUUUCUCUUUUCUCCCUUUUAUUAUUUUUAUUACUAUUUAUCUUUGUACAUAUUUCAUUUUGACUCGUCAUCUAUUGAAAAUUUUUAAAAUUGACUUGUGUGUAUCGAAAUCAUGUGUCGGAAUUCUGGACUUGCAUGUCAAACCGUGUUAGAAGAGUUAAUUACGUGUCAGAUUUUUUGAUAUCUGUUGACCGCGUAUCGAAAGGUGUCAAAGUGUAACACCGAACUCGCGUAUUGGGAGAGUUGAUCACGAGUCGGAUUUUUCAACACAUGUUAAUCACGUGUCGAAACAUGUCAAAGCAUAUUGAACACGUGUUGGUAUGACAUCCUGAAAAUUCAGUUUUGUUUUUAAUUGAAUGAAUCGAGUCUUUCAUCGAUGCGCUUAUAGUGUUAUUCUCUGAGCUGAUUACUCAUAAGAUAACUAAACUAUCUAGAGAAGUCAUUAAGGGAUUUUAACGCGAUAGACUUAAGAAUUCGACUAGGAAUCGAUUGUUCAACUAUGCUAAUUUGCAAGGGUCAUUAUGGCACAAUUUAAAAAUCGAUUAGAGACCAGAGAUAGGUCGAUUUGACAGAGGUGUGUGAUUAAGUGUGGGUGAUUCCACCUGAUUACAAAAUUCUUGUCGAUCGGCAUUAGACCGAUUUUUGAUCGUUUUGGGUACCCUGUGUUUGUAUUUGAGACCUCGAGAUUUUCAUGACAAUCGAGAGUCGCCAAUGAGUCGAAGAUGCACAAUGUGACUCAAGAAUAAUCGACCAUGGGUCAGUUGCACUAAAAAUUCCUAAAAGCUACCCGGUAGGUUAGGUCACGUUUAGAUCGUGCUAGAUUAAAAUUAACAGCGAAAUUGAACCCUAUUUCAUAAAUUGAAAGUUUUGAAAUAUCACGAUUUAUUUUAGGAACGUCGACUCAUCCUCCCAAGAAUUUUCGGAGAGUUCGGGAUUUUUAUGAAAAAUCAAUUUGAACGUUUCGGAAAAGAACGGAAAUUUGGAAUGGCCAAAUUGAAUGGAUUUUUGACUUCCAAACUGAGCUACUCGGCGAAAGGAAAUUGUAGAAAUUGUGUGGGCUUCUUCUUCAUCAAAAUUAGACAUCAAAUUAGAGAAUUUGUGGAAGAAAUUGAAAUCCAAAAAUGAGAAAAUUCUAAGCUUGGCAUGGGGGCUGCAACUUUGGCAAUCAAAGUGGAUUAUUUGUGGGAAAUUAUAAGUAAGAAAGUAAUUAUGGACAAGAGGGAUAAGAUUGAAGACUUUUUGGUCCAAGGAAUGAUGAAUAUAGAUUUUUUUCAUUGACUUUUGGCCCCCCCUCACCAAUCUUCUCUCGUACGCUACCUUCCCCCCUUCUUCGUGCGCCCGCUUCCUCCCGAUCCCCCUUUGUUCUGUCUCUUCUUCUUUUCAUUUUGUUUCUUCGAAGACCCGCAUGCUUCUCCAUCAUCGAAUUCCCCUCCAUCCUCUGCCAUCUCCACCGAGCUCUUCCCUUCAAGCUGCCACACGUCCACGUAUCUUCUCCCCCCGGUCAACCCCUCGCCAGCAGAAGCCCCGAAGUUGUGACUGCCCACCCUUAUCAACACUGCCAGCCCUCCACCACCGCUUGUCCCCUUUGACUGAAGCUGCUGCUCCUCUUUCACGUUGCCACGAAGACGCCAGUAGCGCCCCCUCUCCUUUGGCUUCUCUCCCGCACGUCCAUCUGUCCACCGAGUCAACAUUCAGCACUAGCCCUCCCCAGUGAAGACCACCGAAUUUCCUUCCAGCGCCACACGUCCUCCACUCCAUCACCCGUGCACGAAGCCGUCCCACCAAUUCCCUUCAGCGGUCAAUUGACCAGAAGUUUUCAACGCCAGCAGCUUCAUUGACGUGAGCCCAUCUCCACGUAGGAGCUCCUUUCAGCCGCAUGAUCAGCCCCAACGACUAGCCCACUCGAAGUCGCAAGUCUAACCGCAAGUUCAGCCAAGUCCAGCAGUAAACGUGGGCUUUGUGGGGCCGUUUUUGGCCCGGUCCAAGCCUCCGUUGGCGUCGCCGCUUCGGAGUUUGUCGCUUGUCUCUGCGUCGCCGUCACUGUAGACUCACCGGCUCGCAAAUUCAAUGAGUUUACUCACUAAACAUUGCUUAGGAGGUUAAUUAUGCUUAGGAGAUGAUUAGUUUAAGUUAAUUAAGGAUUAUGUGGUUAGUUAGAUUAGAUUAGUCAUUUAAUUAUCCAAUUCUGUAUGUUAGGUUGUUAGAUUAGAUUAAUUAGAGACUAGACAGGUUGUAUUAAUUAUCUAGAUUGGUUCGGAAAUUUCCGGACCCGUCUCGGUAUUUAAUUAGGCUUUUCCGGUCUAAGUUCCUAUUUAUAGCAUUUAAUUGUAUUAUUUAAUGAAUUUUAGUAAUUAUUUAAUUAUUUAUUAUUUUUCGAAAAUUAGACUGGGAUAGCCGGUGAUCGGAAUUUCAUGCUGAUUGCAAUGGUGUGUUUAGUUUAUGCAAUUGGAUGUUAGUUUGUGCAAAUCGAGUGCUGAUUGGAUUUUUGGUCAUUUAUUCCAAAAUUUAGAAAAAUUCAUUAUUUAUUUAGAAUAUUCCGAGUGUCGGAUUUUGACACCAAAAAUAGUUUUAUAUACUAUAUAAAACAGUGGGAUUUUAAAUUGGAGGAUAUCAAUUUUCAAGGAUUGAUCUAACCGUGUACUCACACACGACUAUUUUCACCGGGUGUUUUAAUAUGAAGAAAAUAGGCUAGGAUCACUAUUUUAAUGGAGGCUUUUGAGUGCAAUGCAUAGUGUCUUGGGCCGAAAUUGAUUGAUCAUGUGUUGGUUAAGAGAACCCGUCUCGAGCUUUUAAGCCGAAUGUUACCUUAUAUGGGAUACCCACUCAGUGGGACUCAAGUUGCAGUAGAUUCUAGACCUACGCUCCUUCGCAAAAGCCGUCUUUGAGAGACGUCGCCGUGUUCAAUGGUGGUGAGACGAUGCCUAGCUAUGCUAGUAGACUGCCAAAUAGAGAGUAUGACAUGCUAUAAGCCGAGAUCAAAACUAGGAACGCAUGUUUAAUUGAGUUAAAUGUGUCGGAUUAUGAGACAAAAUUGUGUGACAUAAUAUGGGACGUGUUAUAACGAUUUGGUUAUAUAAUUAAGACCUCUAUGCUUGUUUGAAAUUUGAGUGUGGCGUUCCAGUUAAUUGAGCUUGGUUGUUGCUCAUGCUUUUGUGCUGUCUAUGGUAUGAACUGUGCUGACCUGUAGGAAGGAUUUGAGAUGAGGUAAGUCUCUGUGGUUGUAUGAUUGUGUGGUUAUGACACUUUUAGGCGUAUUACCCUCCUAAUCAGGGUUUAGAGCAUGAACUCGCUGAGAUUUAUAUCUCAUCCUGUAGUGGGCUCAAUUCUUUUCAGGGCCGUAGAGUGAAGGAUUUGGAGUCGAGCUAAGGUGAUCUGAAGUGUAGAUCAGAUAGAAUAGUUUCUUUUAAGAGUUGGUCUUUUGAAGUCUUUUGGUUAUAGACUUUUGUAUAUGACUCAGUUGGUUUAUAAAAGCACAUUUUGUUUGUGAAUCUAUUGUCCUGCUUUUCUAUCUCGAGAUGGGUUUUUGUCAGGGGAUUCGUUAUUCGCUUCUGCAUGUGCAAUAAAAAGAAAUGGUCGGUAACUUGUUCUAGGAAGUCGCAUUUUUAUUAUAGACCACCGAGGGAUGGGCACGCACUCGAGGAUUGGGGUGUGAUAGUUGGAGUGUCGAUACGUCCCAAGAGUGUCAAUGCUUUCUAGAUACAUCAGGCGUCGUCGGCUUCUAAUGUAACACAACCAAUGCUCACAUGAAACAAUUUGAAAUUUUUUUAAAAAAAGGAUCUUUUCGGCUCUUUUUACCUUAUUUUCUUUCNNNNNNNNNNNNNNNNNNNNNNNNNNNNNNNNNNNNNNNNNNNNNNNNNNNNNNNNNNNNNNNNNNNNNNNNNNNNNNNNNNNNNNNNNNNNNNNNNNNNNNNNNNNNNNNNNNNNNNNNNNNNNNNNNNNNNNNNNNNNNNNNNNNNNNNNNNNNNNNNNNNNNNNNNNNNNNNNNNNNNNNNNNNNNNNNNNNNNNNNNNNNNNNNNNNNNNNNNNNNNNNNNNNNNNNNNNNNNNNNNNNNNNNNNNNNNNNNNNNNNNNNNNNNNNNNNNNNNNNNNNNNNNNNNNNNNNNNNNNNNNNNNNNNNNNNNNNNNNNNNNNNNNNNNNNNNNNNNNNNNNNNNNNNNNNNNNNNNNNNNNNNNNNNNNNNNNNNNNNNNNNNNNNNNNNNNNNNNNNNNNNNNNNNNNNNNNNNNNNNNNNNNNNNNNNNNNNNNNNNNNNNNNNNNNNNNNNNNNNNNNNNNNNNNNNNNNNNNNNNNNNNNNNNNNNNNNNNNNNNNNNNNNNNNNNNNNNNNNNNNNNNNNNNNNNNNNNNNNNNNNNNNNNNNNNNNNNNNNNNNNNNNNNNNNNNNNNNNNNNNCAUUUCUUAUGUACUUGUUUCCUCUUCUUCUUCCAUCAAUCACCAGGCCUUGGUGAAGGCCUCGAUGCCCUCACCAAGGGUCGACCUCACAUGCUUGGGGCAAGGCUCGACCUCAUGGCUCCACUUCAUUACCCACACCGAGGAUGGACCAUAUAUAACAUACAAAAUUAGAGAAACCCGCAUCUAACUUUUAGCUUACCAUAGCUUGGACAUAAAACCAUAUCAAACUCCAAAAUAGGAGUAACUUCUCUAAGCACUGCAUAGAUGCACACACAUCGAAUGUUCAUAGUAUGUCCUCAUAUUUGGAGGUUGUACACGCCAUAAGAUGAUCGGCGGGAGCGACAUUUCACACAAGGAUCCUAACUAGCAAAAUCUUAUAUUAUUCAUGAUUCAAACUGAUGUGAGAAACCUACCAAAUACAAUCAGUUUCGGUUAUCAAACAAAUUGAUUAAGGUACUGAUUCUCGGUCAUGUAUUUGAUGUUGGGAUAGAGCUCUGAAGCUUUCACUCCGAAAGACGGCUCAAUCUCAAAGUUGGUGUGGUCUCCUUUCAAGAAAACAGAAUGAGAUAUGGCCAAUAUCACAUUGAGCAGAACUGCCGCCUCUGCAAGAUGACAAUACAAGUUGAUCGAUUGACUUUAGAAUACUCAAGUCUCGGAGAGAAAUAGACAAUACACGUGCUUAAAUCUAAUCCCUGACCUUGAAUGUUCUUUAGAACUUGCUCCUCUGGAACAUAAACCCUCUCCAGGGUCUUGCUGAUCUUUCUCUCCCACAAAGACACGAGAUCACUAAACAAGUAGGUGUUGGCAGGAGGUUUGAUGUACUGAAAUUUGUUUAAGGUCCUCGGAUCAUCCACGGCUUUGAUGGUAUAGGUGCUGAUGUCAUCCUCCUUAUUAAUCACUGCUGUAUAUCAACGGGAGAGAGUUUUAGAAUUCAGCUAAUAAAUAAAUCACAGAGCAAUCAAUCUACCUAGAGUUACUUUCAGCUCGCAUCUUGUAAAGAAUUAUCUCGAUGAGCGGAUUCAUCAAACAACUGGCAUCAUAUGUUCUUUUCUCAACCCCAUACAUCAAGAUAACCUUCUUUACAUGUUGAACAGGUGGUAUUGUGCCAAGGUAACCCACAUGACAUUCAUAUCAUCUAUUAGUCCCUAAAUUGAAGACUAAUGGAUGCAAAAGGCCCAAAAUCUCCAGACAAGGAAGUUGCCUGGAAUUCUCAAGCUCCAAGAACUGCUCCUCACUCUAAUUGCUAUCAUAAUUGAAUCGUGAAAGAUGUACAGAGAUCUCAACGGCUUAAAAUGCGAAACAUUUCGACAGAUUGCUUCUUACCUUUUACAUUUCCAUCUUCUGAGAUGACUACUUUAUCUCUAGGGGGAACUAUAGCCUCAAGCUGUGCCAAUGUCGGAAGGAUGUAACCUGCAAAACUGUUACAACAUACAUAGAUAUCAGGGAUUCCCUCGGCCUCAACAAUGCCGCCGAUCUUACCUUUGAUGGCAAGAGUAGCUUUUGCUGGCUCCACAGCAUGGACGCAAUCCACGUCAUUUCCAAACUCUGAAGGCAAGAAUCUCCAAAAAUAAAAUUUAGAAGAGACAUCUUUGUUAGAAAGCAGAAAAAAUUUAGAGCAUAUUCCCCUUAACCAAGAAACAUGUAUGAGUUCCAACAAAAAAAGGAAGACAAACUUAUAUGAGAAGGAAUUUCGAGUUGUUUCAAUAUGUUACUAUAACAUAGUAGAAAGUGAUCAUAAGUGAAUCAAUAAAUUCAGCAAUUCAGCAAAGUCGACUCCAAGUGCUAUAAGAAAAAUAGAAUAAACAGAGCAGCAGCCAGAUAACCCUGUCAAAUAUCGAAUAGGCAGACAUUCUACCCUGUCAAAUAUAGAAGAGGCAGACAUUCUGCUUGCGUGGACACCUUCACAAGUAACAAGAUAUCAGGUAAGACCAAUGCCUUUUGUGAGCAUGCCGAGUUCCACUCACUAUUGACUGUCAAUCUAUGUAGCACCGACACGGACACGCGACACGCGACACGACACGACACGACACGCCGACAUGUCAUUUCUUAAAAAUAGAGAAUUUUGACACAUUCCGACACGUUAUAUAUUAAAUAUAUUUUUAUAUAUAAAUACAUAAAAAUAGCAUAGAAUUAAUUUACACGAAAAAUAUUAAAUAAUAUUAUUAAUUAUUUUAAUUUGUUACAAUAAUACAUAAAACUUAGAGGAAACAAACAUUGUUUAAAGAAAAAUGCUGAAAUGAUAUUUUUAAAUUUAUUUAUUUAUCAUAUAUAGCAUUUUUUUAUUACUUCUUUUAUAGUAAAAGACUUUUGAAAAAACUAAAACAAUUCUAAAAAGCCAAAACUGAAAAAAAAAAAAAAUGGACCCCGUGCGUGUAUAUUUAUAGCAAUUUUAUUACUUCUUUUAUUACUUCUUUUGUGUAUAUUUAUAUUUUGACCCCUCAAGUAUUAGAAAUUUUAAAAUUGACCCCAUGCGUGUUGGAAUCAUGUGUCGGAAUUCUAGACUCACAUGUCAGAGCAUGUCGGAGAGAGUUGACUACAUGUCGGAUUUUUCGACACUCGUUGACCGCGUGUCGGAGCGUGUCGGAGUGUUGGACACGACACGAAAGCUUCCAAAGAGUGUCCGUGCUACAUAGCUGUCAACCACUCAAAGCAGCGACAAGUACUAAGUACCACUUCAAGGAUUAACUAGUUCAUGUUUCCCACACUGUCCUAUAGUUGAAUUAAAAUAGUUACUCUUGAAUUUCACUGAUGACUUCUACACAGGGUUAUGACCAUUUAAAAAAGAAAGAUGUUGAAGUCUACAGAUAGAUAAAUCCAUCCAUCCCAUUUCAUCAAAGCAAAGCUCGCAACGACAUCGCAAUGCACUUAAACUAGUAAGACAAGAAUCAAGCUAACACCCAUUAGUCAAAUGCUAAACCAACAAUAGGAACUUGAAAUGAAAUUACUAGGCACAGCACCACCUUGAUAUUCCCAGCUGCUUUAAUGGCAGCAACAAUUCUGUCUUGGUCCUUUACUUGUGCUCACCCCACAGCAGAGAUUACCACAUCUACUUAUGUAAUCACAAUAGACUCUCUUGAUCGUAUAUGUCUCCCUGAGAAUCAAAUAACCAAGAGCAUGGACAAAUGAUCAAUGAAGUCGGCAAUCAUCUGCAAGAUUUGUCUACACAGCAAAGCGCAGCUACGUAGCUAUAGCUGUCUCAGAAACAGCUAAAGCAUAUCGAAGUUUCCACAAGAUUUUGUUUGAAAAUGUGCACGUUCACAUCCUCAUGCAAAAGCUGAAAUUUCGUCAAGCAUUUGAAAAAGGAGAGGGACGUGAUUUCUGAUUUCAACCACGCACAAAGACAAAAUAUCAGAGAAGCAAAAGAGCAACGCCAGAUCGUAACGUGACUCCAUCAACUCCAUAAAGUGAGAGAUAAAAAUCAACUCCGAUCCUACUGAUAAAAACAUUUCUCAAAACGGCAAACGAACGCAACCGCACAAGAAUAACUACUCACCUGGAAUAUAUUGAUGCUUGAGCUCUUGAAACCUUCGGCGAUGCCAGCCUUGGUGGGGUCAGAGAGAGCGGACUUGUCAUGCCUCGGAGCUCCGAGCGCGCGCACAUCCCUCGAUGGUCAAUGAAAUUGCGAAGUCCUAGGACGCGUCGCCGACCCAUUCAUUUUAUUGCACAUGUGGAAGCGAAUAAAAUAAACCCCUAACAGCAAAUAGCAUGGGAUAGAAAAACAGGAUAACAAAUUCACAACAAAAACACGCUUUUAUACACAAACUAAGUUUAUAUACAAGACUAGCCUGUUUACCAAAAAGAUUAGCCCUCAAAAAGGAAAAUGUCCUAUGGUCCACUAGUCGGACGCGUUCACCAAUCAUUCGGACUCCACAGGCUCCGGGGGCACUGGGUCCACCACAGCCCCAUCAAGAGGGUCAGCUGUAUCCUCGCCAAAAGCGGCGUCGACUACCACAAUGGGGAUCUCAAAACCCUGGAGGGGACCAACUCUGUAUCUAUUUAGCCCGUGGCGAAACCACACCCUAAAUUGAUGAGGUACUCUCUAAGGUUGGCCCUCACUGACCCAGACGGUGGUCACUACGAGCUCAUAAACCCGGACCCCGUGGCCUCCGGGAAUAGGGUAGUCAGUAACCAACUCGGUAACCCUUUGAGGCUAACCAUAACGUAUCGGUGGAGCUGCCAUCUAAGGACCUGAAAAAAAAAAUUUUGAGCCCAUGACGGGGUGAGACAAUGUUUCAAUAAGUUCACCCUCUAAACUCCGACUAGGAAAGAAAUACGUCUAGCCACACAAUCACACAACCACAGAGACUCACCUUGUCUCAGAUCCUCCCUGUAGAUCAGCACAGUUCAAAAACACAACCAUAUGCAGUAAUCAAACUCAAUCAAUUGGAACGCCACCACUUUCAUCUCAAUAAACACAAGGGUCCCGAUUAUAAGGCCAAAUCGUUAUGACAUGUUCUAUACUAUGCCACACAAUUUUGUCCCAUAAUAAGGCGCGUCAAGUCAAUCAAUCAUGCAUUCCAAUUGAUUACAACCCAACGGUUACGACCGACUCAACAGUCACCGGUCUUUUGGGGUAGUCGGGUGUCGUCUCGCACCAUCGAGCAUUGCAACAUCUACAUCUAGACGACAUUCCACAUAAGAGCAUUGGUCCAGCCUCCACUGCGAUUGGCAUCCGUUGACUUGGGGCAUUCUCGAAGGAGCAUCGCCCGGCCCCAAAAGCUCGUGAUAGGUUCUCAUAUCAUUCAUGCACCCAUUCAAUCCCGGCCAAGACAUCGUGCUUCAUACUCAAAUGCUAUAAUUAAAAUAAUGUACUUGGCCUAUUUUAUUCCGUAUUAAAAACACACAGUAAAAUAAUCGUGUGUGGGUACACGGUCAAUUUGGACCAGAAAAACUGAUACACUUCUUUUUAAAAUCUCACUAUUUGAUAUAGUAUGUAAAACUAUUUUCGAUGUCAAAAUUCGACACUCGGGGUUUUCUUAGUAAAUAUCGAAAUUUCACAAUUUUGGAAUUAAUAACCAAAUUUCCAAUCACUACUUAAUUUGCACAAAUUAACACUCAAUUGCAUUAACUAAGCACACAAUUACAAUCAACACGAAAUUCCGGUCACCGACUAUCCUGGUAUAAUUUCUAGAAAAUAUUAAAUAAUAAAAAUAAUUAAAUAAAGCAAUUUAAAUACCAUAAAUACCAACUUAGGCCGGAAAUAUUAAUCUAACCACCUAAACGGGCCUAGACUAUUUCCGAACCUAACUAGAUAAAUAGUACAAUCUAUCUAGUCUCUAAUUAGUAUAUUCUAACCACCUAACAUGCACAAUUGAACAAUUAAAUAAUUAAUCUAAACUAACUAACCACCUAAUCCCUAAUUAGCCUAAACUAAUUAUCCACUAAGCGUCAUUAACUCCAUAAGUAGAGUUUAGCAAGUAAACUCACCGGUUUAGCGGGCUGGUGAGUCCACGACGUUGGCGACACAGAGAUGAGCGACACUCGAGCUUGCGACGACACCAACGGAGGUUUAGACGGGCCUGAAAACGGGCACGAGCUCUCAGCUAGGAGCUGAGCUUUGGCCACUGCUCAAGGCUGCUGGGCUGGAUCAAAGGGGCUGAAACGGCACAGGAUGGGACGCGGUGGCUGUAGCGACUCCAAGCGGUGGUUUCGGCUGGCUAGAUGGUGGCAAACGGUGACUGGACAUCAACCAGGAGGUCUUGACGGUGGCCAGGACACGUGGGGGAUGGCGAACAAGCGGGACGCAAGCAAGGUAGGUGGACGGCUCGCAAGUAGUGUGCGGGCUCGCGACGAGUAGACAAGUGGUGAGGGGGGCUUUGGCGGCGGUCGACGGGCUAAGGGGAGGGCUUGCCGGUUUCUGUAGUUUUUCUCAAGCUCUAAAACUCUCAACAAUGGAUAAAGUGGGCUCAAGGAGGGAGAAGAAGACAACUACAGCAAGAGGGGGAACCAAUGGCCUCAAAUAUCCACCAAAAUGCUCAUUGCUUGGCCCCCACUUGAUCAGCCAUAUCCUUAGCCAUUUGUCCUCACUCAAACUUUCCCUAGAAGCUUCCCCAAAUGGUCCAAAUGUUGCUGCAUCCCAUUGGCUACGAAUUUGGACAAUUCCCUCCAAAUUUUAUUCAAUUCCUCUCCAAUUGAGCUCAAAUUAGAGUCCAAAAAUUCAGCCAAGGUGUCAUCAUCCAUUUCAUGAUUUUUCCUCAUCAAUUGAACCAACUUGACAGCAAAAAAUCUGACAAAAAAGGGCCCUCUAAUUUUCCUGGUCCAAAAUAGCCUUAUUUUGAUUUUUCGCCGAAAUCUCGAGUUUUCAGAAAAAUCUUCGGAGGAUGAGUCAACAUUACUAAAAUGAAUCGUGACAUGACAAAACUUUCAAUUUUUGAAAUCGGGUUUAAAUUCGCAAUUAAUUUCAACUGGGCGCGAUUUUAGCGUGACCUAACCUACUGGGUAGCUCUUAGAAAUUUUUAGUGCAAUUGACCCAUGGUCGAUUAUUUUCGAGCCACAUUGUGCAUCUUCGACACAUUGACGACUCUCGGUUGUCGUAAAAAUCUCGAGAUUUCGAAUAUGGGCACAGGGUACAAAAAUGACAGAAAAAUCAGUCUAGUGCCGUUCGACAGAAAUUUUGCAAUCCGGUGGAAUCGCCCACACACUAAUCACAUACCUUUGUCGAAUCGACCCAUCUCCAAUCUCUUAUCGAUUUCGACAGUGUCGUAUUGACCAUUGCAGAUUAGCACAAUCGAGUAUUCGAUUUCUAGUCGAAUUCUCAAGUCUAUUGCGUCAAAAUCCCUUAACUGCUCCACCAGAUAGACUAGUUAUCUCGUGAGUGAUCAGCUUAGAGAAUAGAACUAUAGGCGCAUCGAUGAAAAGCCCAACUUAUUCAAUUGAAAACAUAAUUGGAAAUUCGGGAUGUCACAACUCUUCCCGUCUUAUAAAAAUUUUGUCCUCGAAAUUUAAAUCAUUACAAAUAUUUAAACAAAAAGGUAGAGGUACAGUCGUCUCAUUGGAUAUUCACUUUCCCAGGUUGCUCCUUCUGUGCCGUGGUGUUACCAGACCACUUUGACUAACAAGAUUGUCUUAGUGUGCAGAACAUGUUCCUUGCGGUCUACAAUCUGAACCGGUCUCUCUACGUAUGACACCCUAUUGUCCACAUCUAACUCUUCAAAGUUCAGCACAUAGGUCGGAUUAAGCUCAUACUUCCUCAACAUUAACACGUGAAAGACGUUAUGCACUUGCGCCAACCUUGGUGGCAAUGCAAGACGAUGCACUUGAGUCCCUAUCCUUUCUAGAAUCUCAAAAGAAUCUACGUAUUUCGGACUCAACUUUCCCUUUUUGCUAAAGCGCGAAUUACCCCUCAUCGGUGACAUCUUCAAAAAGACGUGCUCACCAAUUUGGAAUUCCAAAGGUCUUUGACGCUGAUCUGUGUAGCUCUUCUGACGGCUUUGAGUAGUCUUUAAUCUGUCCUUGAUAACUGUGACUGCAUUCACUGACUGUUGAACCAACUCUGGGCUUGUGAUUUUCCGUUCUCCAACCUCAUCCCAACAAACUGGCGUUUUGCACGCUCUACCAUACAACGCCUCGAAAGGUACCACCUGAAUACUCUGCUGGUAGCUGUUGUUGUAGGCGAACUCAACAAUAUGAAGCUGUUCCUCCCAACUUCCUUUGAAAUCCAACACACAAGCUCUCAACAUGUCCUCAAGAGUCUGAAUCGUCCUUUCAGACUGGCAUUUGUCUACGAAUGAUAAGCCGUACUGAAUUGCAGCUUUGUCCCCAAGGUGAUCUGUAAACUUUUCCAAAAGGCAGUUGUAAAUCUCAGGUCUCUAUUAGAUGUGAUUGUCACCAGCACUUUAUGCAACGAAUAAUUUGAUGCACGUAUAAUUCUGUGUAUCUGUCCAAUGCAAGGUCCUUUUGUACGGCGAUAAAGUGAGCCAACUUCAUCAGUCUGUUGACCAUAAUCCAAAUGGAAUCAUUACCCCUCUGACUCCUCGGUAAGCCCAUCACAAAGUCCAUUGUGAUGUAUUCCUAUUUUCACUCAGGAAUCUCGAGAGGUUGCAGAAGUCCUCUCGGCUUACAGUGAUGUGUCUUCACUUGCCGACACGUUAGACAUUUGGCAACAUGUUUAGAAAUAUCCUCCUUCAUACCGGUUCACCAAUAGUGUUGACGCAGAUUCUGAUAUAUCUUCGUACUGCUUGGAUGAAUGCUGUAACUACUACAAUGAGCUUCUGACAAGAUCUAUUCUUUAAGCUCUUCCUCGUUAGGUACACACAAUUGUCCUCGGAACCUUAGUGUUCCGUCUUUAGAAAUUUGAAAAUUAGCCUUUCUCUUUUCGGUAUCCUUUUGCAGGAUUUUCUAAAUAUCUGGGUCUGUCAACUGAAGCGUCUUGAUUCUGAUUCUCACUUCCGGCUCAAUUCUGAUGGUGGCCAUAAGAUUUGAAAUGUGACCUACCUCAAAUUUGAAAACCGAAUCUCGAGCUCUUUCGAGUAAAAUCCAUUCCUUAACUAUCAUUUGUGCAACUGAAGACUUCCUACUCAAAGCGUCUGCGACCUUGUUAGCCUUUCCAGGGUGAUACAAGAUGUUGCAAUCAUAGUCAUUCAGAAGUUCCAUCCAGCGACACUGUCUCAUAUUUAACUCCUUUUGAGAAAAUAUAUACUUGAGACUUUGAUGGUCUAUAAAGAUUUGGAAUCUUUCUCCACAUAAAUAAUGUCUCCAAAUCUUCAGAGUAAAGAUGAUUGCUGCGAGUUCCAAGUCAUGCGUCGGAUAAUUCAGCUCAUGAGGUCUCAACUAAUGGGACACGUAUGCAACAACCCUACUAUGUUUCAUUAACGCGCAACCCAGUCCUCUAAACGACGUAUCACUAUAGAUCUCAUACCCUCCAGGACCAUAUGAAAUUGUCAACACUGGUGCGAUAGUUAGUUUCUACUUAAGCUCUUGGAAACUACGCUCACACUUAUCUGUCGACACAAACUUCUCUUCCUUCUUCAACAGUCAAGUCAACGAUGAGGCCAAAACUGAAAAUCCUUCCACAAACCUUUUGUAGUAACUUGCCAAACCCAAAAAGCUUUUGAUCUCUGUCACUGUUGUCGUUCUUGGCCAGUUGAUAACUGCUUCGAUCUUGGUCCUUCGCCUGAAAUCACGUGACCUAGGAAUGCAACAUGAGUCAACCAAAACUCGCACUUGCUAAACUUAGCGUACAACUCAUGGUUCCGUAGUGUUUGAAGCACCAUCCUCAAAUGCCUUUCGUGCUCCUCAGGACUUCUCGAGUACACCGGGAUAUCGUCGAUAAAAACAAUCACAAAUUGAUCCAGAUAUUCUUUGAAAACUCAGUUCAUCAAAUCUAUGAAAGCAGCUGGGGCGUUCGUCAAACCAAACAACAUUAAAGUGAACUCAUUGAUAUAGCUAGUAUAAGUACCUAGAGGGGGGUGAAUAGGUAUAUAAAUAAUUUUUCGAGAUAUGAAAGCAAUACUAGGCAGACAAUAAAAAGAAGACUCCUCUUUUGUUAAUAGAACGAACUGUUGACAAAGUAAAAGGAGUAGGGACUGCCAGACUCAAGACUUAAAGUAUAUUCCCAGUGACAGUUUUUAAUCCGUUGAAGUAAGGCUAUCCAGAUCUGUGUGAUUCUUUGUGGACUCAGCCUUAUCGACUGGAGAAGAUCUCUUGGCUGGAUGUGACAUAACGGAUUCCUUUUAAGAUUGAUUAAGGAUCCGAUGAUUGGCGAAGUAUUCUCGGAAGGUUCUACUUAUGGAAACCAAGAUCCUGAUUGUAUGGGCGAGCAUGAUUGAUGGGCUAUCGACAUGUUCCUUUAAUAGCUCGAAUGAUCUUCCAAAAUUGAUUCUGUCCAACGGGAAGAUUGGAAGAAUUCAUUUGGUAAGUGCCAACGAGUAUGAUGGCAUAAAGGAGUAUAAAAGGAAGACGUUCCAGUUGUUCGAAGUGUGUGCACGAUAAAGAAUUCCAAAGUCUGAAGCUCCUUGAUUCGUAGUCAAUUCAUUAAUUGAACGACAAUCUUGUAUACUGAGAGAGUUCAUUUUGAGACAUACCUGGAGGAAGAUUGUAGAUAUCAUACUGUGGAUCAGGAGAGCAUGGCUGUAACAUCCCUUUUGUCNNNNNNNNNNNNNNNNNNNNNNNNNNNNNNNNNNNNNNNNNNNNNNNNNNNNNNNNNNNNNNNNNNNNNNNNNNNNNNNNNNNNNNNNNNNNNNNNNNNNAAGGAUGGCUGGGCAAUCCAUUCCUUCUCGCUAUGGAUGUGAGUCACGGUGACUAUCAGGAGAAAUGAAAAAGAUCGAGAGUACUCGACUCAUAUAAGUUUGAUUUAUAGUUCUAUGUGUGUUCUUAGAACGGCGAGAUUGAACUCAGAGAUAUGCCAAGCGGUCUUUGAAUUGAAAAAAUCGCCUGGUUUGAUUAAUACCUAUGUCCCCAUGUGAUGUAACUUACCGAAUCAAAAUGCAAGUUGGCCUUCGAAGCAUUGGUCUCUAAAAUGGUAUGAGCCAGACCUGGUGUCAAUCCUCUUCUUUCACGGAAGCCUUCGAUUCUCCUCGGAGAUCAAUCAAAACCCAGAGCCGACCAAGUAAACUGGAAAAUCCUCCGAGGGAAAGCGGAGAUGGUGGGAGGUGUGCAAGGAGCGAGCAAGAGGCGACCGGAUGCCGUCCGGACGCAAGCGGUGAUCGUGAGCUCUCGCGAGAGAAUUGGACAACGUCGUCGCACAAAUGGAGAGAGAGAGAGAGCCACGCGACCUCAAAACGCACAAGAAUUGGAGCCAACGCCGUCCAAGACUUCGUCUGGUUAGUUGAACAACCGAUCAUGACCAAUGAUCGCUCCUCGCAGAGAUAAAAGCUCUCUGUUCUGUUUUGAGUGUCGCACGUGUGAAAUAGAGACCGGGAGCUUGGAUGUUUGCUAGCAAUGAAAAUUGCUCACAUCCAAGAUUAUAUUACUAACAACUGCGAUUCGGUCUUCAUGAUCUCGUGCUGAUUGGGUCGUGAUUCUCGCUCUCUCGUUGCUGGACUGUGCCAUUUCAUCGAAUGCACAUUAAAUGUCUGGUGAAAUGCCUGAGCCAUAUUAGUCUGAAUACACAUCGUCUUUGUCUGCUUGAAUGACUCAUUGUACCAGUUGGAUAGGUUAAGUAGAUCUAAAUUGAUAUCCACUUUUGAGUCCAUUCCCGAAUGUCUCGGUCUUGGUAGGCUUCCGGUACUCUAAGGCAGAUAACUCGACUCUCUGAAAUUAGCUAAAAAAGAUGAUUCCGGUACUCUAAGGCGGAUAAACUCGACUCUC
rnacentral:lncRNA from 1 species